ACUAGUCCUAUAACGAGAAAAGGACAUAAAGCUGAAAGUCCACUAAUAAAAGCAUAAAGUAAUACAAAGGAAAUCCCAAAUACAAGUGCUAAAAGUAGAUACAUAGGUGGUCUCUAUACAUGGAUACAAAACCUCUCACGCUCUCAAUUACAAAAAGAAAGAGCGAACCACCUAGGCAAAGAACCGCUCCUCGCUAGCUAGCUAUGCGAUCCCCUUGCCGCGAUCCCGUGCCUCCGCCGGUGCAGAAGGCUCUGAAAAGGAAACAUAGAAACAGGGGCGUGAGAACUAUUAAAUAAUAGUUCCCAGUGGGCAAUUACUGACUUCAGUGAAAUGCACCACUAGGCCCGAAACUAUAAAAGAGGGUCAGUGUACAGCUAUAACAAAAGCGAUAAAUGCACUGUAAGUAAAUAAAUAAACGAGCACCCAAUAAUCAUGAUGUCUCUACUUAGCAUGAUUUGCAUAAGUAAGAAAGCAACUACUAGCUAUAUGCACAUGAACACCCAACAUGUAAAGCAUGAUUAUGCAACUACCCGAAGUCCACAAUGUAAUAGUAAAGAUGUCAUUGUUUACUAUUCUAGUCCAAGUCCCCAUUAACAGUUAUACAGUUCACGUAGCAUGUUCUGUCACCAAGUCCCAAUCAUACAAGACCCACCUGAAGGCUGUCUGGCCUGCGCCGUGCCUAACGGCCCCGUGGUAGUCAACAUCCCCACUCUAGGGAUGAGCCUCUCCCACGGCAAUCCACUUCGGCGCCCAAUCCCGCACGGGCGAGCAUAUGUCGCGAUGGCUAUCUCCGGAGCGCCGGCUUGUAGGGAGCAACCCUCACAAGCAUGUGCGAAUGAGCACAAUGGCAAGCAAGCAAUGAUCUGUCUCAAGUACCAAGUCCUCAUGUCUAACAACAUGGAAUAUAUCAAGUAUCUCAAUGGCCUAUCUCUAUGUCAUCAUGUCUCUAACAUAGAAUAUAGCAGAUGUGUAGUGGCCUAUCAAUAUGUCUCUAUAUUGCAGUUUAAUAGUUUACUAGUUUCAAGUGCCCCUUGAUGACACUCUUGUUCUCUAUGUCAAAGCAUGGCAACUAUGUUCCAAAGUACAUAUUCCAAGUCAUAAUCCUCAUAAGAGAUGUAUUUUCCACUUGCAAAAUAAACACUUUUCCCGUAUGCAUGCAUUCUACUCAUAUAGCUCUACUAUAUAGUGAAAUUUUUCAUAAUACACAAGGCAUGCAUUUUAAGUGCUCUAAAAUUCAUAUAAAUUCCAUUUAGCAUAGAAAUGAAUUUAAAAAUAUUUUACAACAAGUAGAAAGAGCAUAGGGGCCAUUUCGCCCCAUUUCCACGAAGCCAAACCCACCGAUGACAACGAAACUCCUCGUUCGCUCCAACGAGGGUGUCCUCUAGUCUCCUAAUACCCUAAGGAUGUGAAACGAAGAGUUACAACCAUCGGGUAAACAACUCCUAGGUUAAACAUUAACCAAUACAAGAAAAGGGGCAAAACUCACCUUGUGAGGUGAAAUCUUCUCUCAAUCUCCAAAUGAGAGUGAAAACCCUUCAAAUCCAACCUAAACCAAAGUUCUAAUUCCAUCAAUUUAGAUCAAGGAGCCCCAAAGCCAAAACCCCCAAAAACAAACCCUAAGUCCACAUUCUAAGGGUUUCAACUCAAGAAAUCCAAUAAUUUAAGGAUCAAAAGGAAAAACUAAGCUUCUAACCUCUUUGGAAGCUUCCAACAAGUGUCCAAGUCCUCAAGAUCUGAAAAUUUCCCCUCAAACGAGCUCCAAAACCAAGCCUCAAGCUCCUUCCAUGGAGGGAGAGCACCAAGAAGCAAAAAGGGGGAGAAAGAGAAGCUUUAAUCACCAAAAAAACCAACCAAGAUCAAAGAAAUAGAGAGGGAGGGUAUGGAGAACUCCCCUACCUCUUCUCCUGCUGCUGGGACACUCAAGGAAGCCCUAAGGGGCGUGGGGUUACUAAUAUAGGCCACAAACGCAAAAAGCCCCAUGCAGUUCAAACUGCACGCAAUCUGCCGCCUUGUACCGGUACACGGGUCCUUGUACCGGUACAAGGCCCACGAAAAUGCAAACCCGAGGCUCGGGUUGCGGGGUCUGCGGCUCUGUACCGGUACAAGCCCGAUGGCUGUACCGGUACAACCAUCAACCUUGUACAGGUACAAGACCAGUCUUGUUCUGGUACAAGCUCUGCUGCAGGCUACCCGAGAGCUGACCAAGGUCCAAUCUUUUUGGGCUUUUGGCACCAGCUUAAAACCAUAAUUCUCAGGAUGCGAGCCAUAGGUCGGGACACUGUCUACGACCUUCUAGAAAGUCUGAAAAAGCUCGACACACAGAUCAAACACUCGAACCUCGCAAUUUGCAAAGGUCCAGUGUGUUACAUAUUUACUUAGGGUUGGGAUCGAUUCAUGGAAAAACCCUAAAUGACAAAAUUAGGGCUUGAAAAUUGGGGCUUUUGCCUUAGAAUUUUUCGGGGACAAAUUGAUCCCGUAGAAACCUAAUUGGGGGUGCCCUAUACACGUUAGACAACUCCGUUUAACGCUGCGAAAAUGUUAGAGUAUAACUCAUGUACAAAGAGGCCUAAUAUGGCACUAUUUUAAUUAUAGGGCGUGGAAUCGGCUUUUGUAAAGUGCGGGAGCCUUCGUAUUCUACACCCACACGACCAAUAGAGGUGGGGGGUGCACAUCGGAAUCGUUGGAUUCCCUUCUAUGUCUGUUUUCUCUAUUCUUGAGCAUAUACAUAUAUACCCAUUCAUGCAUAGUAGGGUAGAUACAUGUGGAACUUGAUUUGACUUCAUUUAUAUGUUUCUAACGUAGUUGAACAUAGAGGAUGAUGGAACCAAAAUGGACAUGUGUGAUUGGACCCUCAAGUUGUGUGAAUGUGAGAUUGUACUUGGACAAUAGAAAACAAGGGUGACAUUGACGUAGAAACAAGAUUGGCACUGAGAGAUGAACCGUUAAGCAUAGUUUAACCAAUUAUGGCAUCAUCAUAGGUAUAGCCUAGAAAGUGGCAAGAAUGAAUAGGUAGAGACCUAUCUUGACAUCGGCAUUGUGACUAGUGGCUAUGAAUUCUCAAGUUGAGGAUUGGAUCGAUACUCACAUUUCGUCUUGGCUUGAGGGGGGUCGCUCUCCCUCGAGCGGUGCGCUCCGAAGUUGGUCACCACUGGGCGUGGUAAAGUCCCCCCAGAUGGCGGUCCCUAGGGUGGUUCGAGUCGCCCGCUAUUAAGGGAUUUUGGGUGAUGAGUUAUUGGGGUUAACAAGGUUAACCGGUAAGAUUGGGUAAGAGCCAAAGCUUAUUUGUGAUUUGAGCAUGCAUGCAUUUUCUAUUAUCGCAUUGAGUAUUUGAAUCCGCUGACAUUCUUCUGCAGGCAUAGUAUUAGAUGCAUUAGUACCGGUUACUUUUCUUUCCUUGAAAUACUUAUGCCUGGAUAGAUCUAGUGGGUAAGUCGGCGAGGUCGGAUGCCGAACCCACUGGGAACUUCGUUGUAGUUUUCACACCACUAACCCUACAGGUCCUGGCACGAGCGGGGCGGCGGAGGACCGAGGCAAGGGUUUGGCGCCGUAGGUAGCGGCCACCGGGACUAUACAUUUUGUAGUCAUUCCUUUUUGAUAUACAUGUAUCAACUUUAUUUUGUUGAUUUAGAGAUGCAAAGUGUAAACAAUCAUAUAUUUGGUGGAUGCCUAAAUGUAAAAAGAUAUGAUGGAAAAAAUGUAAUAGUUUUACUUGAAUUUGGUUUAAAUGUAAUCAAAUAUCAUGUAUGUUGCUCAAUUAGCUUAGAGCUUUCGCUUCCGUUGUUGCUUGCCCUCGUGCAAGCCUUGUAUUAUAUAUGCAAAUCUCUUGUUGAUUGCCUAUUUAUACAUGUUGUUAGAGCCUUGGGCGGACAGGGGAGGCUCUGUCCGUUCGGCGUCUGUUGACGUGACCCGAACCCGACCAAAUUGGCGGGGAUUGGGGGCGUGAAAGAUAUAAUGGUAUCAGAGCGAAGCGGAAAGAAAAAGUCUAGGAAAGACCUAGGAACCAUAGGUAUGAAAACCAUAAAGACUUAGGAAACGUUUAACGUGGACUUGGUUAUGCGAAAGCGAAUGAUUGGGUCAGUGGUAACACUUCUCUAGAAUGAAGUAGAGAUGGACUAGGAGGCUUAAUUGUUGUCUACUUAAAGGACCUUGUGGGAUGGCCGACCACAUAACACCAAGAGUGGAAAUAAUUAGGCUUGUGCUUUCGCUUAAUUGGGUAGCUAUUUGGAACGUGUAAGGGUCACGUGUGUCGAGUGCUAAUGUGUGUGCAUUGCGUUGCAGGACGCGAUGGCACCACCAAGGAGAGUUACGAGGUCCACACCGGCGGAGUCUCGGGAGGAGCCCGGGCAGUCGGGGUCGGACGAAGUACGCGAGUUGCGAGCCCAGGUAGCGGCUUUGGCCGGGGCUAUGCGACAACAAGGGGAGCAGAUUGGACAGCUCCACGAGAUGAUGGCGCAACAGGCGGCGGCGGCAUCAGUACCGAGGGAUCCACCCCCACCGGCUGCCCCUGUAGCACCACCUCCUGCGGUGGCGGCAGCGCCAGUGACGGCUGUUCCUCCGGCGGCAUCGGGUUCAUCGGUUCCUAUUUCCGAUGUGCUUGAGGCCGAGCAGGAGCGUACGUUGGCGGCGUUGACGGCAUUCAAGCGGUUCAACCCUCCGACCUUCAACGGCGAUGUGAAGGAUCCGUGGGUGACGGAGAAUUGGUUGGCCGCGAUGGAGGCGUUGUUCGAGGAUAUCUAUACCCUCGAGAAGGAUAAAGUUCACAUGGCGGCUCACUGUUUGGAUGGGUCGGCUCGGUUGUGGUGGAAUCUAACGAAGAAGAAUUGCUCGCUAGGGCACACUCUUCUCACUUGGGAGGCGUUUCGGGAGAUGCUGCUUAUGGAGUAUUUCCCCAAGAGUGACAAAAGGAAAAUCAAGGAGGAUUUUCGAAAACUAAGGCAAGGAAGCCGAACGGUGCGGGAGUAUGAAAGGGAGUUCACGUACAUGAUUAACUGCGUGCCGGACUUGGUUCACGGCAAUAGGGACAGAGCGGAGGUGUUUGAGCGCGGGUUGCGACCCGAGAUUUUCAAGGUCAUUCAUGCAUUCCGCUUGAAGACCUAUGAGGAGGUUCUUGACCGCGCGNACUAAGGCAAGGAAGCCGAACGGUGCGGGAGUAUGAAAGGGAGUUCACGUACAUGAUUAACUGCGUGCCGGACUUGGUUCACGGCAAUAGGGACAGAGCGGAGGUGUUUGAGCGCGGGUUGCGACCCGAGAUUUUCAAGGUCAUUCAUGCAUUCCGCUUGAAGACCUAUGAGGAGGUUCUUGACCGCGCGCUUUGGGUGGAGCGCGGAAAUGCCAUUGCGCGGGACGAACGCGAGGCAUUUGAGAAGGAGAAGGAAAGGGAGAAGACCGAGAAGUGACCUGCUGGUGGAUCGGCGGGUCAGUCGAGUUCUAAGCGACCCCCGCGACCUCAGCGAUCACAGUGGCGGGGAGGUAGGAGUCAGACACAGGGCCAGACUUGUAACACACUGGACCUUCGCAAAUUGCGAGGUUCGAGUGUAUGGAUGUGUUUCGAGCUUUCCACACUUGGCGGAGGGUCGUAGAAUGUUUUCCGACCUAAAAAGUUCGAAAAUCGGGAUUCUGGACAAGUCCUGAGAGUUUUCACUCUCGGGGACCGGUCCCUGGAAGGAGAGACCGGUCCCCUCAGUGAGCAGUGUUGAGGCAGCCUGAGGCAACCGGUUCCGCGCAGGGAGAGACCGGUUCCCGAACGCUGGUUUUUCGGGUUCGCAGCGAGAGACCGGUCCCUGCUGGGGAGAGACCGGUCCCUCUGGGCGAAAACUGCCCAGUUCGGGCUGAUGUAAUAUUGGGUUUUUGAGGGGCCUCAUUGGAUUUUGUUACAUUAGAUGGGCUUAUUAGCCAUUUCACUCUCUUCCCUCCUCAUUUCUCACCACCCUACACCUUCUAGAGAGAGAAGAAGAAGGAGAAGAAGAAGAAGAAGGAAGAGAAGAAGAAGAGGAGCUUGUUUGAGGGAGCUUGGAGCUCAACCCCUUUCUCUCCUUUCCACUCUUGCAAGACUUGGAGCUUGCUUGUAGAGCUUAGUGGUGGACCAACUUCAACCCUAGGGCAUUUUGGGCUUGGAUUGAAGCUUCCAAGGGUUAGUAUCAUAUUUCUCUCCUCUAGAUUCCUAUUUUUUGUGAUUUUUGGGGAGAUGAAACCCUAGAAUGAGAUUUAGGGCUUAUUUUUGGGGCUUUUUGAUCUAGGGCUUUUGGACCCCAAUUGAUUGGAUUAGAACCUUCCUAGGGCUUGGAUUGGGAGGGUUCUAGCUCUCUUUUGGAGCUUUGGGAGAGAUUUCUUCUCUUGAGGUGAGUUUUGCCCAUUUUGCUAGAUGCUUAAUAUUUGAGCUUUUCGCUCUUCGUUUCGUUUGGGUAAUCCCGUUUUUGAUGUUCCUAGGGUGCUAGGAAGCUAGUGGAUACCUCCAUCGAAGCGCACGAAAAGCUUCGUUGUCGUCGGUGGGUUUGGCCUAGCAUACAAUAUGAAAAAUGCUCAUAUUUGGCAAAUAUGUUUCGUAAAAUAGAAAUUCAUGCAUUUCCAUGUUAAAUGUAUUUAAUAUGAAUUUUAGAAUGCUUAACAUGCAUAGAUCAUGUGUAGUAAAUUUUGGGACCUCUAUAUAGUAGAGAGCAUGUAUGUGUGGCCUAGCAUUCUAGAUGAGACAUGAGAUUAACAAUCCCUAUUAUGAAAACGAACCUUGCUUUCAUGCAUUUAAACUAUAUACCAGUUAUGACAUUAGGGAUUUUUGGAAGCCUAGAGAGGCUUAGAGACUUAGAGGAUAUGUGAGAUUGGGCCAAUGUCAUGAAGAGGCAUCGGGACCCGGGGCUUAGUGAGCAUUAAUGUUAAUGUCCUAUUGGGAACAUGAUUAGUUGUGGAGCUUAAGUGUCAUAAAGAGGCACUAAGCAAGUGUGUGUUGGGACCUCACAUUGUGACUUAGACUAGAUCUUCGGGAUGCUAGUUAUGAUGCCAUGUUAGAGACAUGAGGAUUGGACAAUUGAGACUUGGACUACGCUUGCUUGCCAUUUGUGCUCAUUCGCACAUGCUUGUGAGGGUCGCUCCCUGCAAGCCGGCACUCCGGAGUUAGCCUACGCGACUGUUGAUCGCUCGUGCGGUAUUGAGAAGCCUACGGGGUCGAGUGGGACAGACACAUUCCAAGAGUAGGAAUGUCGGGCUACCACAGGCACUUAGGCGGCACAAUAUCGCACGCAAGGCCCCAUAAAGAAAAGGGUAAAGUACUAACAAUAAUAAGACGUAAUGAGUAACAGCGUACGAAAGCUAAGUGAAGUGAUAAACCACUAUAUCACAAAGUAAACCUGAUGUACAUGGUGUAUGUUAAAAAAAAGCAAUCUACGCUAAUUCAUAAGAUAUUACGUCUCAACAUGAUAACCAAGUAAUCUUCCAAUGCAAAUGUAAUGCAUAAAGAGUAAGCUUUCAACCCAAGCAACCUGAGUAUACUACAAUGCAACAAAUUGAAAACCGGCAAGUAUGACAUACAUGUACCAAUUGCUAUAUUCAAUGACAUGUCAAAGUAAUCCAACUACUUAACCUAUCUAGUAGUAAAUUAAUUCAUCCAAAAACUGUGCUCGAUUUCCAUUUCAGAUAAGGACUAUCAAGGUAGUCAGCUUUGUGCCCCUUAAGUGCCUGUGGAGCCGACAUUCCUACUCUUGAAUGUGUCUGUGCCACUCACCGGUAAGGCCUUCUCACCAUACGCACGAGCGAUCAACAUGCGGUAGGCUAACUCCGGAGUGCGCGCUUGCAGGGAGUGACCCUCACAAGCAUGUGCGAAUGAGCAAAAUGCCAACAAGCUAGUCAAUCUCAAAUGUCUCAUCCUCAGUCUGUCUAACCAUGCAUCAUAGACUAGCACCGAAGAUCUAUCUAUAAGUUCAUCAAUGUGAGGUACCCAAACACACUUGCUUAUGCCUCAUUUAUGACACUUAAGCUCCGACAACUUAUAUGUUCCAAUAGGAAUUAAGCAUUUUAAUGCUCACUAAGCCGGUCCCGAUGCCUCUUCAUGACAUUGGCCCAAUCUCACAUAUCUCUAAGUCUUCUAAGCCUCUCUAGGCUUCCCAAAAAUGUCCUAUUCAUAACGGUAUAUAGUGUAAAUGAUAUGAAAGCAAGGUUCGUUUUAUAAUAGGGAUUUUAUCUCAUGUCUCAUCUAGAAUGCUAGGACACACAUACUAUGCUCUCUACUAUUAUAGAGCGUGCUCAAUUUACUAACACAUGGAGUCUAUGCAUUUAAGCAUUUCUAAAAUUUCAUAUUAAAUACUAUUUACUGGAAAUGCACUGAAUUUCUAUUUUACGAAAAUAUUGGCAAAUAAUGAAAGAGGCCAAUUUUUUUUUCAAUGUAUGCUAGGCAAACCACCGACACAACGAAGUUCGUGCGCUUCGAUGGGAGUAUCCACUAAGCCUUCUAGCACCCUAGGAACAUCAAAACGGAUUACCCAACGAAAACGAAGAGGCGAAAGCUCAAAAUAUUUAGAGCAUCUAGCAAAAUGGGCAAAACUACUCAAGAGAAGAAUCUCUCACCAAAGCUCCCAAAAGAGAGCUAGAACCCUCCCAAUCAAGCCUAGGAAGGUUCUAAUCCAAUCAAUUGGUCAAAAGCCUAGAUCAAAAAGCCCCAAAAAUAAAGCCUAAUUCUCCAUUUUAGGGUUUCAUCUCCCCAAAAUCACAAAAAAUAGGAAUCUAGAGGAGAAAAUAUGAUUACUAACCCUUGGAAGACUUCAUCCAAGCCCAAAAUGCCCUAGGGUUGAAUUGGUCACCACUAAGCUCUACAAGCAAGCUCCAAGUUCUUGCAGAGUGCGAAAGGAGAGAAAGGGUUGAGUCCAAGUCCCUAAAAAAGCUCCUCUUCUUGUCUCUUCCUAAUACUUCUUCCUUUUCUCCUUCUUCUUUCUCUUCGUAAAGGUGUAGGGUGGAGAAUGAGAGGGAAGAGAGUGAAAUGGCUAAUUAAGCCCAUCUAAUGCAUAACAAAUCCAAUGAGGCCCACUCAAAAAACCCAAUAUUACAUUCGCCCGAACUGGGCAGUUUUCGCCCAGAGGUACCGUCCUCACCGCAGGGACCGUCUCUCGCUGCAGAACCCGAAAAAACCAGCGUUCGGGAACGGUCUUCCCUGCGCGAACCGGUUUGCUCAGGCUGCCCACAGCGCUCCACGAAGGGACCGUCUCUCCUUACAGGGAACGUCCCCGAGAGUGAAACUCUCAGGACUUGUCCAGAAUCCCAUUUUCGAAUACUUUUAGGCGCGAAACAUUCUACGCCCUUCGAGGGUGACGAAAGCUCGAAAACACAUCCUGACACUCGAACUCGCAAUUGCUGAAGGUCGUUGUUACCAUUCACACCUGCCUAAAAGAGUUUCUGUCCGCGAAACUCAAAAGUACAAAAACUACCUCAAUCUCCGGUCUGAAAAAUAUGGGAUAGCGCUCCCCAAUAACGCUUCUCCAGCUCCCAAGUGGCUCGCGCUUCGUCGUCGGGUUGCUCCAAGCACCUUCCGUAAAACGCGAAAAUUUCUCGGAAAUUCCGCAAUUUUUCACUCGCGAUGCCAAAAUUCUCAAGAGCUGUGGCUCCUCAAAGUCAAAUCAUGCCGCAGCGCCAAAGACGUAAGUAUCAAUUGAGCCGAUUCGUGGAUGUACUUCGAAAGGACCGAUACAUGGAACACAUUGGGCACCCGAUAUUUUGGCCGUGUAGGGCCAGUCGAUCGUACCGGGCCACACGCCGCAAAACCUCAACGCGUCCAAUGAAUUUCGGGGGAUCAUACUGACCCCGGAUUCCAAAUCUUCGAAUUCCUUUGGUCGGCGAGACUUUGUCAAGAACACAUGGUCUCCAAUCUGAAACCCAAAGUCUCGUCGAACGCGAUCAGCAUAACUUCUCUGUUACUCUGGCGUCAACAAUCGCUCCCGAGCAAGCCGAAACUUUGUUCCUCUGUUCCUGAAGCACAUUGGGACCUAAAGCCAAUCUCUCGCAACUUCCCCAAUGAAAGUGGCGAUCUCACUCGUCCAUUAGAGUUGCAUCAACGUCCAUACUGAUGCUGCUUGAUAACUGUUGUUAUAAGCAAACUCUGCCAUCGUAGGAGCUUGCGACUGCUCUCCUGGAAGUCGAUCAGCAGGCUCAAGCAUAUCCUCGAGGUCUGUAUAGACGUCUGAUCUGCGUCACUCUGAGGGUGGAAAGCGUACUUGAAGCCAAACGCUACCAGAGCGCCUGUAAGCUCUUACUCAGAAGUGGAUCAAAACGGGGGUCUCGAUCUGAUAACGAUAGAAUAGGUACCGUUAAUCGCACGCAUCUCAUCCAUAAGAACCUAGUGCGAGUCGUCUCACCAUCCAAAUAGUGUGAUAGUUAUGAAAUGUGCCGAUUUCGUUAACCUAUCCACGAUCACCAAAUUAGCGUCAUUGCCGGGCUGUGAAGCGACGGUCAAUCCCAUCAAAAAAUCCAUGGUGAUCUUUCCCAUUUCCACAUGAACGUAGCUCUAAUAAAAUCCCGCGGGAACUCGGUGCUCAGCCUCACUGUUGACAAGUUAAACAUCUAGCAACAAACUCACAACAUCCUUUUUCAUCCCGAGGCACCAAUAAAGAACUUCAAGUCCUUGUACAUUUGGUGCCCCUUGGAUGAAUAGCAUACGGGCUCGGUGUGCUUCCUGCAGAAUAUCCUCUUUAUGCCAGUCCGCGCGUACACAAGUCGUCCGCGGAAACGCUACAAUCCUAUCACCGUCUAAAGUGAAGUACCGGUGCCAACCAUCAGCCAUUGUGAGCUUCGAAUCUUUUGCAACUCCUCAUCGGAAGCUUGCUUCUCUUUAUCCUUUCCAGAAGGGUAGGUUUGCACCACUAAAGUCAUCAGUCUCAAAGGUGUUAUCAGUGAGCACCACCUCAAUCCAACCGCUUCAUACUGCCGAAUCACGGCGUUUGAGUAAUCAACAAGCCUCGCCUAAGUUUUCUCGCGCAUUUCCGACUUAGCGCAUCGCACCGGUUAGCCUGCCCGGGUGGGAAAGUAUCCCGUAAAUCAUAAGUCCUGAGUAGCUCCAACAUCUGCUGCUUGCCUCAAAGUUAACUCCUUCGAAUGUGAAUAGAUACUUUAAUAUCUUGUGAUCCGUAUAUAAUUCGACUCGCUCGCCAUAUAAGUAGCGGCGCCAUAGUUCAAGGCAAAGCACGCCGCCAACUCCAAAGUCUGGUGAGUGGGGUAUUCUUUUCAUAAAUCCUCAAUUGGCCGAAUGCAUACGCGAUCACUUUCCACGGGUUCCUGCAUCAAACACAGCCACAUCCAUUGAAGAAGCAUCACUAUAAAUCACAUACCUGCUCCAUCGGCGGUCGGCGAAGGUAGGAUCGCGGGCCAGUCGUCAAUCGUUGCUUCAACUCUUGGAGCACUUUCACACGCGUCCGUUCCAAAUGAAACUUAGUGCCUUAUGCGUGAGUCUGUGAGGGGAGUAGAUAACUUCGCAAAUCCCUCGACAAACCGCGGUAGUAGCGGCCAAACCAAUGAAGCUCGUAUCCGGUUACGCUGUCGGCCUCGGCAAUCCUUUGUAGCUUCAAUUUUCCUGCGGUCCACGGCUAUGCCUGAUCCUGAAAUCCGUGCCAAAAACGCCACCUCUCUAAGCCAAAAUUCACACUUUUGUCGAAUUGGCAUAGAGCUCUUUUCCCGAGCACUUGAAGUACAGUUCAAGUGCUCUCGUGAUCCUGUCACUCCGGAAUACACUAAGAUGUCGUCGAAUAAACACCACAACGAAUUUCUUAUUAUAAGGCUAAAACACGUUCAUUAGAUCAUAAAACUGGCGGAUUAGUAGCCCAAGGCAUAAACAGUAAACUCAUAUGCCAGUACCUGCUGUUCUAAAAGCCGUCUAUUCGACACGUCCUCAGGUCUGCAUUCUUCACUGGUGAUAUCCCGCUGCAAGUUCUAUUUUGGAAUUAUACACAAGUAUCCCUGGAGCUGAUCAAAAGAUCAUCAAUCUCGGGUAAUGGAUACUUUCUUAAUCGUGACUGUUUAUUGAGUUCGACGAAGUCACACACAACGACAGUGAUCCAUCUUUUUCUUCACAAACAGAUAACCAGCUGGCUACCAAGGGUGACACGCUCAGGUCUCACGUAAACCUUAUCCACGAAAGAUCUGCAACUGCCCUUUCAGUCCUUCAACUCUUGGCUUUGGGUUUUUGUUUUUUUGCAUCCUAUUAGGGCGCCUUUGAGAUUGGGAUAGUCCAGGGGACGAGAUCUACCACAAUACUUCAUCUCCCUUAUCAGGAGGCAGGCCGGUUUCUAGCUCGGCCUGGAAAAAUCUCCAAUCAGCACACGGGGAUGUCUCAAUCUAGGGGAUGUCGCACACCGCAACACUAACAGUUGAGCCAAGUAGGCUAGAGCUUUAGCCUUCUACUAAUCAACUGCCCGAGCUGGAGAAGAGCUAAUCGUAUGCAAAGCCGACUCUGCGCAUUCCUCUGUAAAACCUCCGCUGCCACUCUUAAACGUUCACUCGUUCGAUUCUACAAUCGAUGGUGGCAAAAGACUUGGUCAGCAAUCCAUGCCCAAAAAACAUCUAAACUCCCCGAGUUUUGUAACAAAGUUAGCAAGUCCGAGGGCAUGAUCCAAUCUCCAAUCCACAGGGCAAACUGGGCAAAAAUCCCGAAUGAUCUAAGAAUGACGGGUACAAACCAACUCGGCCCUGGAUGCACAAGGAUACAAGUGGGAUGCCAUGCGCAGUCGGCCAAACAGACCGACAAUGAAUGAAUGCAUCACGGUAUCAAAAAGCUCUAAUCGAAUACCAUGUACCAUGAAGUAAAUGAUACGCUGCGACCACAUUCUCGGCUGCGCGCAUCCUCAGUCUGGGCCGAAGCGCGUCGGGGUCGUGACCCUACCGACAUGCCGCAGAAACUGCGGACUGGGACCGCCCUGCCUGAGUGUAUGCGCAGAGAUGUCCCCUGAUGGGGACCCGCAACUGGCGAUGCUGAGAUGCAGAUGCCGCCAAGAUGCGCUGGGCAAUGGAAUCCACGUGCAUCGACUGGAAGUGCUCGCUGGCACACAGGAAGCACGCUGCCCGGUGACGUGUACACUGUUGUGCGUAAUUGGGACGCCACAGAAUUCACGCAUGCGCUUGAGACCUGCGAGAAUCUGGUCUCCUCGCUGAGUAGAUGGCCGCGUCCUCGCGACUGGCUCCUCUCUGCGGAUGCCUCGGCGGCCUCCUGCGAGUGCGUUGACUCGCCCUCAGCUUGCUGCCUCUUGCCCUUGCUUAUCUAGGGCUCGCGACGUCCUGCAGAUCCGCCCUCCUUGCCUCCACAUCAAUUGGCUCAUCCACACCCCCAGGUAGGUCUGAGAGGUUGGAAAGACUGCACCAGCCUUCUGAAAGAUAAAGCGCCGCAAACCGCGACUCAAAGAUUGCGGGCCUUGGUCCUCGUCAAUCCCGAAAACAAAAGGCAACACAAUGGAUAAUCAGACAGAAAACUCCCUCUCGUACUCGGACCACGGACCGGCUCAUCUGCGACAAGCUGGGCAAGUCCUGCUCGCAUCUUCCUCUUGACGCUAGUAUGGAAAUAGUGCCGCCAGAAGAAGCUCCUUAAUGGCGCCAAGAGACGCUUGUCAAGGUCAGGUGCUGGGAUUAUCCUGGAUGUCCACCCACCAACGGUUAGGCCUCGCCGUUCUAGAAAGUGAGUGGCGAGCCAAACUCUGUCCCGUCCCUCCCAAACGUGUCUCGAAAUAGUUUACUCCAUUAUUUGAAUCAACAUUUCCAACAAUCAGUGCGUCGAACAUCCUCCAUCAAACUCCUGGGCUUGCACCUCCUAAACUGCCGAGGCCGCUCCAUAGCAUCUCCGCUCGCGCCCUCGGCCAUCACGGGCGAAAGCUUGCCCCCUCGCGGGUUCUUCUGUACAGGUAGUGCUGCAGCAACCUGCUCCCGGGUGCGGUCGGCCGGGUGCCGCACGGAAGACUGGGGCGCAGGGGACUGCCGCCCUCGGUGCGACGUUCCACACGGUACUUGCGGUGUAGGGCCCGGGGCUUCUCCUCGAUGCUGCGCCUGGUGUUGUCUAGGAGGUCCUCAAGAUGUUCAUCGCGCCUCCUGCCAGUUGAGUACCAGCCUGUCGCUGCGCGCUGGCUGUCGCUGCCGCCGAACAGAUCAUGAGGCACCGCAGAGCUGGGGCCCUCAGAGUCACGGACCUCACUAGAUCUCGGAAUAGCAGAGGUUUCUCGACUCCUCUGGUUUGGCGCAUCAUCCGCCCGCAGACUGGCGAGCGCAGUAAUCGGCAUCCGUCACUAUAGCGACAAAAAAGCGCAAGGUUAGUAACCCACGUAUCGCUAUCCCCGCUCAAAUAGAUAAAACCCCAAAUCAUGCGACAAGUGAGGAAGUGUCCUUCACUACUUAAUCCGAUAGUUACUGUUGUCGGCCAGCCAACGUAACCUUGCGCGAGUUAGAAGCCAUACCACUCGAUCAAACUCUAACUUUAAUAGAGUUGUCAUGAACCCAAUCAUAAUACUAUCGCUCACAAUGUCAUUAGACCGCCGUCUUCGACGAACCUUAAAUUCUAUAUCUAACCGGCCUAAGGGAUUUUGCUAGCGGUCCACUAAGACUCAACCCUAGGCUGCUGAUACCAAAAUAAUCUCUGUUCACGUCCCGGGACCGGCGCGAGGCCCUCCCGGUAGCGUGCCGACCGCCAUAUGUCAACAAUAGUAAGCGUCUACAAUAAAAGCGGAAGUAAAGCAAAGUUAAAAGAAGGUGAAAUAACUAGCAACUAAUGAUAUCAGAGACUAGAAUUAGUUCUAUAAUCCACACCAAGGGUAACUGAAAAACAAGGCUAAGAUCCAAUAUAACCAAUACAGUAGUACAAAUCUAAACUCCCAAAAGAAUACAAAAUCCAAAAGGAGGUUGCGUCUCUUACAUAUAAACGGGUACAACGCCACGCUUCACCAAAAUAAAACCAGAGAGGUAGACCACCUAUCGAAAUUCUGUCCUCGAAGGAAGCGUAGCUCAAGCGACUCCCUUCCCGCCGGUCCCUAGCCUCUCGGGUGGAAGGCUCUGAAAGAGAACACAAAACAGGGAGGAGUGAGAACUAUAAUUUAUAGUUCCCAGUGGCAAUAUACCUCAGCUCAUCGCCACCAAUAGGCCCCAAAGAAUAGGGUAAAGUACUAAGCAAUAAUAAGAGUAGAUAGUAACAGCAGUCGAAGGCAUAAGUGAAGUGAUAAACACUUAGUUCACAAGUAAACCUGAUUGUCAUGUGAUGUAAUCUACGCUAUCAUAAGAUAUAUAGUCACUCAAACUAUGAUAAACAAGUAAAUUCCUCACAAUCGCAAUAUAUUCAUCCAUAAAAGAGUAAGUUUUAACCAAGACAAUCAGAGUUAUCCUACAGCAACAAGGAAACGGCAAAUGCUACAUGUCAAUGUAUUAUCAUGAACAUUCAAGUAAUCCAACUACUAAACCUAUCUAGUAGUAAUUAUUCGAUUCCAAAACUGUGUUCGAUUUCAUCCAAUAAGGACCUACUCAAGUAGUCCAAGCNNNNNNNNNNNNNNNNNNNNNNNNNNNNNNNNNNNNNNNNNNNNNNNNNNNNNNNNNNNNNNNNNNNNNNNNNNNNNNNNNNNNNNNNNNNNNNNNNNNNGUGGUCGAGUUAGUUAUGUCCUUUUUGUUUUAAUGUAUAUAUUUGAGAAAUUAUGCUAAAAAUGUGUAUGAAUGACAUUAAUUGUUGUUAAAUAGGCAUGGAUAGUACUGAUGUAUGAUGUUUAUGUCUGAGACAUUUGUUCAACAGGAAGUGUGCGGCUUGUCCCGUGCCGGUGCAUUGGAUUAUGUGCAUAUUUGUAGUGUUGAGCCGUAUGAAGGGUUUUGAUUUGAUUUGAAUGGAUUGGCGAGGGAAGAUUGAAAAUACUAUGCCAUAUUGAUUGUGAAAGUAAAGUAAUUAUUUUUCGUGAACGCCAAAGAAGUUUGUAUCAUGCGUGUAAAAUCCAUUUUUUGCCUAUCAGUAUCGACUGUGAGAGACGAGGAAUUUGAUUAAUAGUGGAUGUGUACUAUUUGCGACAGUUGGCGAAUUAAGGAAACGACUUGGGUAUAUAGUCGAGAGUUUCAGAUAUUAUUUCUGCGGAUUACGAUUCCACGGACCGGAGAUGAGUCGUUAUUGAUUACUUCCGGGAUGGUGCAAUUCGAGGUCUACGAAUGGCAUCGGCAGAUUGAGGGAUUGAAAGAUCUCAGUUAUAGAUCUGUUUGACAGUUGAACAGUAUGCUGAACAAAGCACGGUCAAGCAUCCUAGCAACCAUUGAGCUUUCAACUCCUCAAUUCGCGGUCAUUUUAUGGACUUCCCGAAUUGGCGCGUGGGAACUAAGUCAUAAUAAUCAUAUUCCUCCGCUGAUAGCAAUUCGGUAAUCCCAGAAAUAAUCUGGAACUUGAAUAUUAAAUAUCCAGUCGGUGUCCUUUUGGUCUCCCAACUGAUCGCAAAUAUCUAACAUCAUAUUAAUCAACUUCCGUUUCGAUACUGCAUAGAAAAGUGAACUUUUACAAGAAUGAUACACAUUCUUUUGCCUGGUCACGAAGUAAUACUUUAUUUCAAUCAAUAGUGAUAUAUUUCGAAGCCAAUUUCAAGAUCAAUAAAACCUUCAUAGGUAACACUGAGAAAUCGCCAGUAAUCCAAUCACCAACCUCACUGGACAAGCCGCACAUCUUUUGACAUAAAAGUUGUAAGGAGAUACCCAGAUCGUACUAUCCGAAUCUCGACGUCAUGAGUUUGCAAAUGAUACUAAUGAAGAGGAGAUAGGUUUCACGCAAUUAUCAAAUAAUGGUUCGAAUUUAGUGCUUAUUAAUAACGAAAUAGCCUGCCACAUCGUCGCAACAGGCUUCACCUGAGACUAGCAAAACACACCACGGGAUCGGGGAUCUUGGCUGAGCGGCAUAGAUGAAUCAGCAUAAGUAGGGGGAGACCCACGCUAAUCUGUCUCGGGGUCAUGAACUGCAACGCGAUGGGCAGGUAUGUCACUCGGGCACUCCGAAUCAUGUGUUAGUGACCACCUAUAAAUGCCUCCUGUGAACAAGUCGAAGUCGAUGAUGCCGCGAGAUAAACAUCUGGGAGUCCCGAUACUCGAUUGUGGAUCGUGAUACCGAGGGGCUUUAGAAACUUGAUGUCCCGACCACUUGUGGUCCGCUUUUUCCUUUAUCCUUUUCCUUUUCCUCUAAGAAUUCGUGUCAUCACAGCAAUGUAUUACCUCCCGCGCCCAAGCGAUCAAACUUCUCAAGUCUUUAACUGAAGCAUGUAUCCUUUAAAUAUUCGGUCGCACCCGCUCAAAAUUCGCUCGAUCUCGAUCCCGUGAUAUACGAACCCAAAUGUGAAGAUUUCCGUACUUUGUACCGAAGUUUACUGUCUAACUUGCGUGAAAUCUUUUCAUUUAUCCUUUUAUUAUUACCAGAAUACUUCUGACAGUAACUCCAGAAAUUAGCCCAAGUUCUUGGUUGAAGUUUGUAGCGUUUUUCUUGACUUCUCACAAACCUAGCUGUUUUUCAAAACUUAGUGCAACAACUAAAUGAAUUUUUCUUUCUACAAGUAUAGAUUCCUAAUAACGUUCUAUAGAGUAGCACAGCCCGAUUCCAAGGAUCUGUCACUCUCGUAACUUAGGAGGGUGAACCAUAAAGCUUUCAGCACCAUAAGCAUAUCGUCCUGUCAGCCUCGUACGGCGACCAAUCAGAAUGAAAGGCAGAAACACCGGAGGAGAUAGUCGCCGGAAACAGGGACGCUGUUGGGGGCGCGUCGUAGGUUAGGAAUUGACUACGUGCCUUUGUGCUGCCGCGACACUAAUCCUGCUCCUUCAUUCGCUUUUCGCAUCUGACAUGCCGUACUAACGCAGGUCAUUGAGCAGCAGCUUCGCAACCUAUUAGUCAACGUGAAGACUCAGGUAAGGGAGGGAUGCCGGUGUGCGAUUCGUGAACGUCGCGGGUGCUUUACUCCGAACGUUAACAUUCAAGUUAGUUAAACAUAACAAUCAGGGAAGCUAAUCAAGUGUAUUGGUACUAUCCGUAGCUUUAUAGUUUGCCACCAAAUAAUCCUCAAGUUGUUCACUGGAUCAUCUCCUAAUUAAGCAUUAUGAGACUAUAAAAUAACCCAUUCAUUUAGGUUUUUGCUAUCAUUUAGUUCAAGUCCACUCGCGUCUAGUUCCAUUAGGUUUUCAAUCUUAAGCCCAUAGGUCCAUCCUAACCUUUACUUUGUCAUUUGCUCGAUAAUUUUAUUAUUCACGUUCUGCUACGCCAUUUGGCUAUCCGGCCCGUAAAACAGUCGAACGACACCCUCCCUGUCGCCAAGAUCAACCAUUUCAAUUACAUGUAUGAAAGAAAAAUAAUCCAAUAAAUUUCAUAUAAAUGGGCUUGCACAGAGGGCAGAACAAGUACAUGAAAGUAAGACUAACUAAAAUGCAUUCCCUGUAUCUUUGAGUUUUUAAUAAAAUACAGAGGCUGGAUAAGAAUUACAUUUAGUUAUUUACACAUUUAUAUGUAUUAUAAGAUCAUUUUUAAUAAUUCCUUUCAUCAUAUAUAUACUAUAACAAAAGCGUACUAAAUAUAUCGGAUCCACUAGCUAAUGUACUGGGCCGUCUUUCACGUGCCUCGAACGUCCUCAACUAGAUCGAGGUUAGUGGUGGAUGUGAUAACUACUAAAAUUUUUCGUUGUUUGGCUCGACUCGCCGAUUACCCACUAGGUUACUGCAGUUAUUGUAGGCAAGAAUUAGAGAAAUGAUAGUAACAACUUAUAAUGUAUCUACUAAAUGUCUGUUACAAGCUGACAUGAAUAAACAUAAUAACAUAAUGAAUUAUGCAUGUAUGCUGCUAAUAACAUUACCCAAUAAAUAUUGUUAACCAUUGUGUAUAAUUAAUCCCCAACUCAAUCCUACUUCGGGGAGAGCUCCGCUAAGACCGACGGGUUAUAUGCGGCAUAUACCACUUCAACCAGUUGAUGACUACUCCGGAGUCAUGCCCAAGGAGGAGCAACCGUCAGUCGAGCAUUAGAUAUGUGAGUAUGAUCUAAUCUCACUGAGAGGAUCAAUGAUAUGACUAAUAUCACUUUAAACGUUUAAAUACCUUUAUACUAGGUUUAACAAUGCUGAAUCUCGAUGCUAACGUUAUUCUAUCAUAAUAGCACCAGAGUUUGCUAUUGUCUAAUAAUUAUAAUUCAUACUUCACAGGGUUUCUAUUCAUAUUCUAUUGUCACAUGUUCUUACAUUGUAAAUUCAAUUGUCUUCAUACAUUCUGAUUAACAUUCCUUAAUGAGAUGAUACUAUUUUGUCAUAUACAAAUAUUGCUCCAAAAGGCACAUAGAAUUAAGAGUGGAUUCGAAAGAUGGAUAGCAUAUACCUCGUGGGGAUGCCAAUCUAGAACCAAAGUUUCAAAAUUUAUACACGCCUAUUCUUCGAUCCACGAAACGAGGCAAAACGAGGUUUUUCCUUAAUUAACAGCAUAGUCCGUGGAAUCGAUUCAAGCUCCCAAGUGAUACUUUCCUUCAUGAGAAGUACAAGAGUCAAUUCAUGUGUAUUCAUUUUCUACAAAUGAUAUAUAACCAUACAACACUAUACAAGCCAUGUAAUCUCCACCAGUAAUAGCCUAUGUAUUAAAUUUAAGUUGAAUAUUUAAUUGGGCAUGUGUAUUAAUAUAGAAGUUAAUUUAAUUAGUUAACAGCAUAUCUUGACUUAGUUAAUGUAUUUCUAUUAGGAUAUGGUACCUAUUAUGUGUGUUCCAUCAGGGUUGGAGCACUCUAAAAUCAUGACGUAUUAUCACUUGCCGUAAUAUCUUUUUCAUGCGAUGUACAUAGAAAUAUGAGUAAUGGUGACAAGCUACGUUCAGGGAGCAUUAUUAGCAUGCUUCUAUUCAAUACAUUGAUGCGAGCAAACUUCUAAUGAGAUAUUUCAUACAUUUACUUAGGUUGCUUCUCCCAGCAAUCCGUGCUCAAACCUCCUCUUCAUGAAGCUCAAAAAAGCCACUCCAAACUUUUCCACCAACUUUCAUUCACCAAACAACACAUGGUUAGAGAGAAGAGUGGGAGAAGAAAGGAGAAAGAGAGUGAGGAGCGCUUGAAAUGUAGGUGACGGAAUAUGUGGGGUUAAAAUAAGAGCACAAAUUGCUCUUUAACCCCCUUCAAGCUAAAAUUUUCCUUACUUAGUUCCCUUUCGAUUGGUACCGGCACUCAUUUAGUACCUAGUACCAAGUCAACCUGAAUUGCGCAGCAGUGGCAGUAGCAUUUUUCCAAGCGUUUUCUUGCUUCAUUUAUUCGGAACACUCUAAAUAUUUAAACACUUUGCAAUUAUAUCCCACCGAUACCAAUUGUUAAGUUGGGGACCCAAACACAAUUUAUAUUUUAGCAUUACUUUUUGAUCAAUUGAUUAUAAAAUUGCUUGUCGUCGGGGGAGAUCGUAUAUAUAUGACAAUACGUGAACGAAACGUCAGACUAACGAAGAUUGCGAGAAGGAGAUGACGGGACGAUUAAACUCCCAUUUUCCAUUAGGUAGAAAUCGGGUCGAGCGACGUAGAGACAAGUGGAAUGAGGAGAAAUCGGACGACGCGUGCUGUGAAGAACGUCGUUAAAGAAACGCGAGAAGGAAAGAAGGAAUGGCCGAUGAACUUGCCCAUUUCGCGUUAGGGUGGGCAAUCGGGAGUCAAUCGCAGCUAGAGACGACGGCUAGAAAUGAGGUAUCUAAGGAUUAAAUGGGAAGAGAAUAAGGGAAAAUUAUCUAACGGGUGGGGCGUUAUGAAAAUAAAUUAGAGACAGUGGCAUUCCUACAAAGCAUAAUUAAUUAAGCAGAUGUUUUAAGAUGUAUCGAAGGUCAACAAAGAAAUUUGAAAAGUUCUUAACCAUUAAUUGAAAAAUAUGAUGAGGAAAAAAACGAACGAUGGCCCAGAUAAAAUCAAAUUAGCAAAUAUAUUAGUGACAGGAAUAGGUCCAAAAAUUUUCCAUUAGUAAUAUCGAACGGACUAAAGGACAUGGAUUAUAGUAGUUAUGAUAUAAUGUUUUUGUACAAGAAUAAAUAAUACGAUAAAUAAUAUAAUUAUAUAUUGAUAAUGUUAAUAUAUGUAUAUAAUAACUAUUAAAACAAUACAUUAUUUUAUAAAAUGUAUAACAUAUUAUAUAUUAUUCUUUAUAUUGGUAAAUUUAUAUAUAAUAAUAUUUAUUUUGGUAAACAUUAAUGUUAUUGGAUUUCGGAGAGGUUGGAUUUGUCCUCCAACCUUUUUCGACCUAAAUUUUUAUAGUAGGGGCCAAUCCGAAGUUAUAAUUUUAUAUCCAACCCGGGUCAUCAUUCUAUAUUAUCAUGGUGUGAGUAAGAGAGAGAUUGUGUUUUUAAAAGUGCUAGGCAUUUUUGUCGCUUCUUAAAAAAUUUUGAUUCAAAUUUGUAAAAUAAAAAAAUGUGGCUCUAUUUUUGAGUAAACUAAAAACUAGUUAUUUCUUGCGAAAAAGUCUAAUAUUUUUAGAAAUAUUAUUUUUUGACUAAAAUUAUUAUUCUUUAUUUUUAUUGUCGGCGAUUUUUUUUUAUUUAUGGCUCAGAGACCCUAGCAUAAUAUUAGUUCAAUAACCGCGCGCACCAUAUAAAAUAUUUUAAAUUUUAUUUAAAAUAUCUUGAUUUAAAUAAUGUAUUUUAAAAUUUAUAAAAUGUUAAAAUUUUAUUUUUUAAAGAAAAUUAUUUAAAUAAUAUUAUAUGAAUCUAUUUAUAGAGUGUAUUUAUUCAUUUACGCAAUUCUCUGGUUACUUUUAUUAUUUUAAUGUUUUAAAAAUUUAAUGGUAACUAACAUAAUAUAUAGUUUCAUUGUCAUACAUUAAUCGAUUUAUAGAAGAUAGGUAUACAAUCUAAAAAAAACUUAAAAUAAGGAAAACUUUAUUUCUUUCUCUGGAUUUAUUAUUUUUACUUUACCAUAUAAUGAGAAAAAGUUUACACUAUCUACCCUGUGAUUUACCUCAUUUACAGUUAUGAUGGAUAGCUUUAAAUACAAAUUACUCUUCGCGAUGGUUAGUUCAAAAAAAGUUAAUUUUGCAUCGUAUUGAUAGUAAAUUUUUCGUAAAAAUAAGAGAUUAAAACAAAUAGCAUUUGAGUAUUAAUUUAUUAAUAAUAAAAAUGAAGGUAAAAUAAGUUAAACCAUAGGGUCAAAUUAAAGUUUUACCAAGAAUUUUUAGACCAAAACAGGAAUGUAUAGGUUUAUAUUAGGGGUUGAAAUGGUCUCGGGUUAAACGCCCAGCACGAUGAGCAUUGUAUGAGCCGGCUUGGGGAAUUAAAAAAUUUAAAACCGAAAAAGUUUGGGCAUACAUAUAUUCCAAGCCCGGCAAGCCGAUUUGAAAGCUCGAUAUCUUAUUAUCAAAAUAAGCUAUUUAGUUAUGUAGAUAGGGUAAAUUUUUACAAGUAUCACAAAGUGUACUUGUGUGUGUUUUUAUCAUUGAUCGUAUUUUCUGAUUACUAAUUGUCUUGGAUCAAAUUAUGCCACUAACCCCACCUUACCACCACUAGACCACCAUAUCUUAACUAAAUUCAGUCUCCAUCAAGGGCUAAUAAUACAACGAUAAGUAUCAUUGGGUUGAUACUUUUACAAGUAUUCUAGUCUAUCUUAGUUUUGAGUUUAGCUUUAUAUCAUAAUGUUGUUUUCGAAUUAGGGCUUUCGAAUGCGAUCCAUAAACGAUUUAAAUAUGAUCUACAUUAUUUAAAUUUUAAAAUAAAUUUCAUAAUUUCGAAAUUCAUAUAAAAUCCAUCAAGGGCAUAAAUGAAUAGUGCUACAAAUUGAACGAAUGUCUAAAAAUGACAUGAUCAGAUCUUCAAUGUAAGAUCUAAAUUAUUGAUCUUUAUCUAUGUAUGUAAUGAAUUUUUCUAGCAAAAAAUACGAAACUAUUCCAAUUCUUUUACAGUUAAAGCUAGAAUAUCCCAUACGAGCGUAUAAAAUUAUAAUUUUGAGCUUUUGUAUAUAGUAAAUGAUAUCGAAAAAUUAUGAAUUUGAUAUAGAAGUUUGACAAAUGCUUUAAAUAAUGUUUUACGGUAUGGAUUCGCGAUUGGAAGCUCUAUCAUCGAAAAAAUUAUGAGUACAAGAGUAGCAUCUUACUAAUAAGAGUAUAGUAGCUGACUCUUUUAGUUAUAUAUAUAUAUAUAAUAUAUAUAUUACUAUAUAUAUAGUAUUAUAAUAUAUAUUAUAAGCUAAUCAUAGUAGUAUAUACUAAUAUAUAUGAUAUAUAUUAUAUUAUAUAUUAUAGAUAUAGGUUGAAAGAUUAUUAAGACACAAGCUAUUACUGCUAUUUAGUUUUUUAGCCAUUGGUUGAAUAAAUGUGCGUUAGAAUGAGUGCGCGCCUUUAGAGGUUGAGUGGGUGUUUUGUUGAAUAGUAUAAUUUAAGGUAAAAAUAUCAAAGGGAAUAUCAAAGAGGUAAUCUAACGGUCGAAAACUCUGAUAGCCACAAGCCCGGUAGAUUGCUAUCGAUAGUAUUCCAGCCAGCUUAUAUAAUAUAUAUAUAUAUAGCAGAUGCUGUGCUCUAGGGUGGGCCUCGUGGCUCCUGAGCAGUGUUUCAUGAGAAAUUCGAAUGGCGAUCGCUCCGCUGAAUUGAUUUAGCGUUAAUUUAAAGUUCUAAAAAAUAUUUUUGGUGAUUUUUCGAAUAUCAUUUACAGCAACGAAAGAUUUCAAAAUCAAUAAUUUUAACGGCUAAUAAAAAUUCUUAAAAAGUUAAUGAUAAUAGCACUAAAUUUACGAAUCAGAAAUAUUUGAUCUUGUUAUUAGAAUAUUUAUAAGAUUGUAUCAAAUUUCAUCACUGAUUUGAUAUUCGUUACACCUGUUAAAUUGAAAAUGGUAAUAUCAAUAUUUAAAAAAUUAUUGAUUUUGAAUCCUUCGUUCACUAGAUUAAAUGUAUAUCGAAAAAUCGCAAAAUAUUAUUUUUCUAAUACUUAUAAAUUGCGUAGAUAAAGUCUAGCGGCACGUCAUUCGAUUUCGAAAAUUAAUAUCGAAAAUUGGACGGAGUGGAGGCCUCGUGUCUAAGAUGGCACAGCACCUCUCUCUCUCUCUCUCUCUUCUUCUUCUCUCUGAUAUAUUAUUAUAUAUAGUUGUAGCUAGUAUGACUAUCGGAUAGCAACGGGCCGUUAGCACCAUGUUGGUUUUCGAUAAUUAGAGAUUCCAAUCGAGAUGAUCGCGGUUGAACAUGACCAUAUCGCUUGAAGUGUUUACAAUCAAUUUCAUCUUUUCGUACAGUUAUUGCUAAUGAUUAAGUUUUCAGAAAUUUAUAUUUUAAGUGGUGAUCUGAUUUAUGAGAAGUUCGUUUACGGGUAAAAGAUAUCAAAUCAAUGAAUUUUUGUUAGAAAUUCUUUAAACUAUUUAAAAAGAUAUUGAACUCUUGAUCUUGAUUACAUAUGCCUUUAGUAAUUUUAAAGAAUAUUUAUUUUCAGCGUUCAUUUUUGUGUCCAUGUAUGAUAAGAGAACAAUAUCAAAAUGUGAUGAAAUUUGAUAUCUAAAAACUUUUCAAGUGGUAUUAGAUAUGUUAAACGUGUCGAUCGUCAAUUCAGAAGGCUCAAUCCACAAACAAGAUGGGUGGCAACGGAGCCAUUUGUAUCAUGGCAUUCGAAUGCUCAAAUCUCUCUCUCUCUCUCUUCUUCUCUCUUAUAUAUAUUAUUAGUAUAUAUAUAUGUAUAUAUUUAUUAUAUUAUAGAGUUUGAGGGUUUAGAAUACUUUAAACACUAGUGAGAUAUAUAUUGAGUUGAGUGAAUUGCUAUGGUAGCAACUGGCUUAGUUGCAUCGUUUGUUUUGAUGAUGAGGAGCUUUAAAUUGACGAUCGGCACGGUUGAAAUGAUAUUACAUUGAGUAUCUAGAAAUAAAAUUUAAAAUCAUUUCAAUAUCAUUACUAUUGAUCAAAGAGUUUUCAAAUUUGUAAUUUAAUGAUAGAUAUGAUUGUGUUUUGUUUAACUGUUUUUAAAUUAUCAUAAAAUCAUUGAAUUUUGGUCUAGAUUUCUUUAAAAACUAUUUAGAUAAGAUCUAUAUCAUCGUCUGAUUACAAUAUUCCUAUCAUCACUUUUUAGAGGAUAUUCAUUUUCAUGCCCGUUAAUUUUUACGCACACUUGGGGGAGUGGACAAAUGAGGGAUAGAUAGCGAAAAAGCAUGAAAUUUGAAUUUUAGAGAUACUUCAAGUGAUAAAUCAUAUUUAACGGUCGAUCGUAACGAUUUGGAGCUCCUAAUUUCAUUCGAGAAACAUGGGUAGCAACGAGCUGUUUAUAACCGAUAGUAUUCUAACUCAAUCUCAUCUCUGUCUCUCUCUCUAUCUCUAUCUCUUCUUUCUUAUAUAAUAUAUAUAUAUAUUAUAUACAUAUAUAUAUAUGAAUUUUCUAACCAAAAUUCAAUUGAUUUUGAUAGCUUUACACAGUUAAACGAGAAAACACCUCAUAUCUAUCAUUAAAAUUACAAAUUUUGAAACUCUUUGAUCAUUAGGUCAAUGAUAUUGAAAUGAUUUGAAAUUUAGUUUCUAGAUACUUCAAGUGGUAUAGAUCAUGUUCAACGGUGCCGAUCGUCAAUUUAAAGGCUCCCUCAUCAAAAACAAACGAGUGGCAACAGAGCCAGUUUGCUACCAAUAGCAUUCCAGCUCAACUCUAUAUAUAUACUCACUUAGUGUUUUUAAAAGUAUUCUACCUCAACUCUCUCUCUCUCUAUAUAUAUAUAGACAGAGAGAGAGAGAGUUGAGCUAGAAUGCUAUCGAUAGCAAACGGGCUCCUGUAACGAUCCAGCCCACUAGCAACAAUAACUCGUUGGGCCCAAUCACCGGCCCAAAAUGCUUAAGCCCAGUUAUUAUUACUAGUGUCUAAGAUAACCCCAUUCCCAUCCGAUGUGGGAUUAUUGGGGUGUCACAGCUCCGUUGCCACCCAUUUGUUUGUGAUGAUUGAGCCUCUGAAUUGACGAUCGACACCGUUUAACAUGAUCUAUACCACUUGAAGUGUUUAGAAAUCAAAUUUCAUACAUUUUCGAUAUUGUUCUCUUAUCCAUCGAGUGGACACAAAAAUGAACGGCUGANNNNNNNNNNNNNNNNNNNNNNNNNGGUUAAGUGCAAAGUGUUUGUUAUUGGACACGGUGAAUCAGUCACCGUGUGCAAUACAAAAUAAUUGAACACGGUGAAUGAUUCACCGUGUCCAAUACAAACACUACAACUUUAGUCAUUUUUGGUUAAGUUGCGAGCGUAUUUGUAUUGGAGCACGGUGAAUUGAUUCCCCCCCCUCCCCCCCCCCCCCCCCCCCCCCCCCCCCCCCCCCCCCCCCCCCCCCGCCCCCCCCCUCCGUUCCAAUUACAAACAAACCUGUAUGGACACCUGUGAAUGGUUCACCAUGUUUCAACUUAAACACAUGGCCCAGCCCGCCGCGUGCGGCUGACGUGCGUCUCGCGUGGCGGGGCCAGCGGCCAUUUUUGCAAAAAUUUGAUAGGCGGCCAAUUUUAAAAAAUGUUGUCAGGCGUGGCUAUUUGCAAAAAAAGCACAGAAAAAAAAUGUUAUUACAUGCAGCCCUCACUAAGUUGGUCUACUUUCUUGUAUUACUCUUAUGUAGUAAAGCAUCUGAGAUGAUUAAAAAAUAUAAUCAACUUAUAGCUCAAACUUAGUGUUCUCAUUUGUUAAAUUUAAUGUACAUAGUUUAAAUUAAAUAAAAUUUUAAUUUUUGAAUGCGAAAUUCAAAUAUCAAGAUCAAUAAAAAUUUUAAGUUUGAAAUCACAAUUUAAAAAAUUUAGAGUUUGAAUCAAAAUUAUAGAUUCAUUAAAAUUUGGAAUCCAAAAUUGACAAUUCAAAAUUAUAAUUACUAAUAGUUGAAAUUUUCUUUAAGAUUAAUUCCGGAUUUAAGAUAUAAAUUUUUUUAAAAUUUUUUUGGACUUAAAAAAAUAUGCAAACUUUAGGAACCAAAUUGACAUGCAAAAAAAGCCUAAUAGGGCAAUGCACGCAUAAUGUCGUUAAUUCUUAAAAUCUCUUUUAACGUUUCAUUUAUCGGUGGUAAGAUCAAGACGAUUUGAAAAUUUGAUGGUGAAGGCGGAUUUUCUAUGUAAAUUAGACAUCUUUUAAUAUUAUCUGCGUAUAUCUAAUUUUGAGACUUGCCGUGUCAAAUUUCAGCUGAAAAAAUAAUUUGUGAAAAUAAAGAUUUUACACGUUUAUUACUUUUCACUUAAAGUUAAUUAUGCAAAUUACAGUCAACCUAAUACUACUAAGUUCUUCGUUUUGCUUAAAAUUUCUAUUAUUUUAGUGUCAUCAUCUCUUUACUGGAAAGGAUAAGGUCUUUUGAGACUAAUAGAAGUGGUGCCAAAGACCUUUCUAAGAAUUUUUUGAUCUCGAUGAACUCCACUCAUCAAGAUUGGUGUAUCGAAAUCUUUCAUUAAACGAUGUUAGGUAAUUCGGCUCACACCCUUACCGGGUCGAAUUUUUUAUAUUUUGUAUGCGCGGUUUCAAGGAAAAUCAUGCUUUGUAUCACAUAUUGACCUUUUUCUACUUCAAUGUUCUUGCUUUUAAAAGUUUCUUUCAUGCUCCUUUUUGCGUGAAAAUUUCUUGGGCUGUUCAGUCAUAGCAUUUAUCACACACUAAGUGAGUUUUGGAACACAAAGGUAAUGAUUGGAAUGCUAAAUUGCGUAUUUUUUGCUAAGCUGUCAAUUUGAGCGACUAUGUUGAAAAGUUUAUCAUUUCUAUAUGAAAUUUUUCAGUUUCUGGUGAGUGAAAUGUUCUACAUGAAGUAGACUCGGAGAGAAAGGUUUGUUUCAAAGUUUCGUAGCGAAUUUGGAUUUGCCUGGCUUAUUGGCAUCGAAUGAAUUGACUGAUUUGAUGUUUUUCCAUGAUCGAGGGUUUUUUCGACGUCAUGCACCGUUAUUUUUAUGCUUUUCAUCGCUACGAAACGGUGAGGGGCCAUUGGCGAGGGUCUAUUAUCAAGAGAGUGUGUAGUUUUAAAAAUAAAAUGAGUUUUUGAGAGGGGUUUUGUGGUAAACGUUAUAGAAUACAUAUAUAAAUAUCUAAUUUCUACUCCAAUGGUGGCUUAGUUAAACCCUAGCCGUAACACCGCCUUGGCGCACCCUUGGAGACCCCCACCUGUACGGGUCACAGCGGCGGCCUCCUUGGCCGGCGACUUUGGCCGACCUCUGGGCCUUCCCCUGUAUCUCUCUCUAUCUAUUCUCUCUCUCUCUCUUCUCUCUUCUGGUUGUUGCGCCAACUGCCACCGCUUGCGGUGCCGCCGCUUUGAAGGGUGCUCUGGCAACCCUCCCCUGCGCCAUCCCUGCCAGCCAGGCCGCCCAAGGCGAGGACACACUUUGGAGCCGCAGCCGAGCUAGGCUCGGGCUAACCCCGACGAGGACGGGAUCGCACCUUCGUUGCCGUUGCUGCCCCGUCGCCGCCUCGGGGCGCUUCACUACCGCCGUCUCUAACCUCAGAGAAUGCGCAGACUUCACCCUUACGCCAUCCCAUACCGCCUGACCGGGAGGAGCAAGCACGAGUUCGGGGCUGCUUGUGCAGGCCAGAGCUUGCCCCAUCUUCCGCCACCGGCUUCCCUGCGCGCCAGGUACGAAGCCAGGAUUCAAUCACGAAGGGGCCCAAUUGUACAAAAAGAAAAAAUGUUUAGCAGAAUAAGAUAAAAGCGCAAAUUUAUUUUUAGGUACUUCAAAUGCCUUUAAUCAACGUCUAACGGAACCGAUCGUCAAUUCGAAAGUCCGAACAUGCGAAAACGACUUGAAGCCGGAGGCCUCGUGCUUCCAUAAGCCAUACCAGCACAACUCUCCCCGCCUCUUCUCUCUCUCUCCUCUCUCUCUCUCGUCUUCUCUUUCCUCUCCUAUAGAUAUAUAUAUAUAUUAUAUAUAUAUAUAUAUAUUAUAUAUAAUAGCUGGAUACUCUUAGUAGUUAAAAUAUUUUUUCGCUAUGCAAGUUGUUUAACCUUUGGAUGAAAAAUUUAAGGUUAGGAUGAUAUUUAGUCAGUUAGAGUUGAUGGUGCCCCUAGGGGGGGGUGAGUGGUCCCCACUGGUUAUAAUAUUUUAAUUCAUGAUUAGAAAUGUGACUGAAAAAAGUUGAUCCAAAGUCUAAAAAACUGGUGCAAUAAGGGGGAAUUUUGCUACUAGAUAGAAUUAGCCCGUCCAACUCUUAUAUAUAAUAAUAUAUAUAUAUAUAUAGUUUUGAGUAUGAUACAUUUUAACAAGUUCGACCAUCAUGGUGCUAUUAGGUUUUAAGCAUUGGAUCUACUUUUUGAUUAUUAAUAACCUAUUGGAUUAAACACUAGUCCACCUACACACCUACCACAUACCUCAUCUAACCUCACAGCUCUCCAUCCAAGGGCUAAAAACACACAAGUAAUCACCCCCCAUGAUUAUUUUUUACAAGUAUGCUAUGCUAUUAUAAUAUAAUAUAUAUAUAUAUAUAUAUAUAUAUAUAUAGUUGAGCGUAGAUACUAUCGAUAGCAACGAUCCGUUGCCACCCAUUUGUUUUGAUGAAUAGAAGCCUCCAAAUCGAGGAUUGGCAACGUUGAAUAAUUCCUAUACCACUGAAAUGUUUAGAAUGCAAAUUCAUAUAUUUUCAAUAUUAUUCUCUUAGUCAUCGAGUGGACACAAAAAUGACGCUGAAUAUGAAUUCUUUAAAAAUGAUGAUAGGAGUCUUGUAAAUCCAAGAUCAAGAGUAUAGAUCUUUGUUUCUUAAAUAGUUAAAAAAUUUUUUGAACAAAAAAUUCAAUUGAUUUGGAUAUCUUUUUAUACGCCGUAUUAACGAGAAAAAAGCCGUCAUAUCAACCUUUAAAAUUAUAAAUUUUGAAACCUUUGAUCAUUUAGGAAUGAUGUCAAACGAUUUGAAUUGUUUCUAAACACUUCAUAGUGGGAUAGAUUCAUGUUCACGGUGCCGAUCCGUUCGAUUUGGAGCUAUCCAUUCAUUGAAAACAAAUGAGGUUGGCAACGGAGCCCGUUUGCUUAUCGAUAGUUAUUCAGCCCUCUAUAUAUAUAUUAGAGGAGAGGAAGCGAGAGACGAGAGAAGAAUUAGGCUAUUAUACUUAUUUUUAUUAGUAGUUCGGAGCUCUGGUACGUAGAUCUUGUUUUUCGAUCCUAAGGUUUCAAAUUAACGGAUAGCCAACGUUAAAUAUGAUUUAGGGUAUAUGAAGUUCUUAGAAUAAAAUUUGAGAUUUUAUUCGGACAUUAUUUACUAGUAAAUAAUUAUGUCAAAUGGACAGUUGAAAUUGAAUAAUUCUUUAAAAUUAGUAUAGGACUUUUAAAUUCAAGAUCAAGAAUAUGUUGAACCUUAAUCUAAUUAGUUUUAAUAUUUUCUAUCUGAAAUUUGAAUGAAAUUUAGAUCUUCUGCACCGUUAAACUCCUAAUCUCACCAUAGUCAGCCAUUGAGAAAUUAACAAUUUUAAAAUUGGUUUGAUCAUAAAGUAAACUAUGUUCGAAAAAAUAUAAAUUUAUUUCUAAAAACCUUUAAAUACCCUAAAUCAAUUUUAAACGCGUGUGAUCAUUGAUUUGAAUACUCUAAGAUCGAAAACGGGAACUAUAGUACUGGAGCCCCGGUACUGAUAAUAGUAAUAGGGAGACUAGCUCUCUCUCUCUCUAUAUAUAUAUAUAGGUCUUGGUGCUAUUAGGAGCACAGAGGUCUCCAUGCCUCCUAAAGCCGUUUUCAAUGAUAGAGCUUUCGAAUCGACGAUCGGCUCGUUAACUUGAUCGUGUAUUUGAACUACUAGAAUAAUUAAUUUUUUCGUGAUUUUCAGUCAUCAUUUUUCUAGUGAUCGAAAGAGUUUAAAAUUAACAAUUUUUAAUGGUUGAUGUGAUACCGUUUGCAAGUUUUUAAUGAUGUCGAAGUAUUCAAAUCAUAUGACAAUUUUGUAGUGAAAAUUAUUUAUACUAUUUACAAAGAGUAAUAUCUUUGAUUCGAAAAUUUUAAGAUCUAUCAAUCCCAUUUUUUGUGAAUUUUCCAUUUUCAGGUCGCUUGAUUUUGAACCGCUUUUCAAUCGUUAGGUAAAUAUUUCGAAAAGUCACAAAAUUUAUUUGUCUAAUAACUUCAAUUCAUGCUAAUAAGUUCUAACGGAGCCGAACACGUCGAUGUCGAAAGUUCCCAUCAUCGAAAACGACUCAGGGCACGGAGCCUCCGUGCUCCUAAUAGCACACAAGUCCUACUAUAUUAUAUAUAUAUAUUAUAAUAUAUAUAUAUUAUUAUAUAUAUAGCUAUAAUAUAUAUAUAUAGAGAGAGAGAGUAGAGCGGGACGAGAAGAGAGAGAGAGAUGAGAGAGAGAAGAGUCCGGCUAUGGUGCUUGUAAAAGUCAAGCAUUGUGUGCUUGUAAAUUUUUGCCGUUAGAUCUACCUUUAUCAUUUUCACCGUUAGCUUUAUACUAUUCUAACUAACACCCACUCAACCCUAGGGGCCGACAUCAUCCUGACCACACAUCCUUUAUCCAAGGGCUGAAAAAACUGUCAACGCACAAUGACUUUUUACUUUUAAAAGCAAUAGGAGCUUCAAUUUUAUUAUAUAUUAUAUAUAUUUAUAUAUAAUAUAUAUAUAUUAUAUGAAGUCCUGCUACUUAUACUAUCAUGGUCGAUCGCCCUCGACUAAGUUGUUUUCGAUGAUAGAGCUUCCGAGAUCGACGAUCCACAUCGUUAAACGUUAUCUAAGCCAUUGAAACAUCUAGAAAUCAAUUUCAUAAUUUUUCGACAUCAAUUACCUGAUAGAUCAAAAGCUCAUCAAAACUUGAUAAUUUAACGGUCCGGUAAGAAUACGCUAAUUAACGAUGCAAAAGAAUCCGAAUAGUGUUGAUUUUGAUAGAAUAAUUCUAUUCACUACUAGAUAAGAUCAAUAUCGUUUCUUAAAGAGGAUCCGAUCAUCCAAUUUUAUAAGAAUUUCGUUCCAUUCUUGACUGUUGCAUUUAUGCCCACUUGAUGGACUUAUUAUAUUUUUCAAAAAAUUUUAUGAAUUUAUUUUCUAGAAAUUUCAAAUACUUCGAGACAAUAUUUACGGAGAUCUCGAUUCGGAAAGCUCUCAUUCGAAAAAACACACUUAUGAGUACGAAGGGUCGAAUUACUCUAAUAGUAUAGUAGCGCUCUCUCUCCUCUCUCUCCUCUCUCUCUCUCCUCGUCUCUCUCUCUCUCACACCCCGCGGUCCCUUUCGUUUAAGAAUAGCGGAAAGCUGUCUGAAAUUUCUUUUUUUGUUGAACCGACCCAGAGAUAUGUCAGAUCCGCCACCAAUAUAGAGAUCCGCUAUCACAGGACAGAGUUCCCCUUCAUUUGCACGGCGUCGCACAGUACAAGAAUACAACCAGAUACAACCACAACUAGAUGAAUUAUAAAGAUUACUAUACAUGUUCAUACAUUCACCAUCACAUCACAGUUUUACAUUCAAUGUUUAAACAGAAAUCCAGAUGAAAAAUCCUUUGUGAAAACUGUUCCUUACACGAAACCUUUAAUCUUUAAAAAUGCUACAUGCGAGGUAGAAACCUUUUAUUUACAUUCAUGAAAAUCCGACAUAUUCAAAUGUUAAUAAAAGAUACUGAACCAUCAUAAACAUAUCUAAGCUAUAUAUCAAUAGAAUAAAAAAGGUAAGAGCUAAACGAACGACCUGGGGUCGGAAGAUCUAUCCGACGCUACGUAACGUGUUCACGUCUUGUCUGAACCUCACGCCUGCAAUACCCUGAAAAAAUGGUGGGGGAGGUGAGAACAUAUGUAAAAUGUCUCCCCCUCCGUGGGGUACCGCAAGCCGAUGAAGGCGAAGGAUUACUCCCGGAUCAGGAAGAGUAAUAAACAAACAAUAUGGUUAAGUGGAAAAUUAAACAGCACAACAAAUAAACGAAAAGAGAUAUGUAAGUAAUGAGCAGAUAAACCGAUACAAGUAGCACUAAACUGAAAAAAAUAAGAACGAGGACUGAAUAACGGCUACCCGCUACGGUAAACUGAAUUCGAAAGGAUACAUGAAUAUUCUACUAUUAGUAGCAAGACAACUAUGAAAGUAAGAACUUGUAAAUAUGCGAUGCAACGACUGCUACUAUAGAUCAUAUGCGUAACUACGAUAACCUCAAAAGUUACCCAUAUUUCUGCUGCCCUAUUUGCGUCGAAGACCUCAGGCCCAUGCCUUACUGCUCAACCUGUACCAUGCCCUCGCAAUGAGCCCCUGGUCGUUCAGAAGCAUCAGCUACCUGACCCAUCGCAAUGAAGCCCCUGGGUCAGAACAUAUACCCUCGCCUAAUAAAGGCGUCCUGGGCGCUCACGGGUGGCCAAUCCAGACCAGCUUUUCCGGAAAGAAACCCCCUGCGGUGGAUCAGACGCUGGUUUCGGAAAUGCGUACCUUGUAGUGCCGUAUCAUGUAGUAUGCUCAAAGAUCUGCCAUCGGCAACUACCGACAAUCCAGCCCUCAGGCACAUCGAUGUUAUAUCUAUCAGCAAUAGUCGACUAGUAAGUCAAAGAUUAGAACUGGUGUAUAGGCACUCGACCGAAUAGGUCAUAGAUAUCAAUAAAAUAGGGGAACCGCAACAAAAUCACAAGAGUAUUAGUUGAAAAUAGUACAACUCUUAUUCUAAGCAUGAUAUCGACAUAAAAAUAACUGAGUAAUAGUAGAGGAGUACAGAUCAAAUCGCAGGUUUGCCAAGUUCAUAUAAUUUACUCUGUAAUAAUAACAACAGAAAAGUAAGGUAAGGAAACCCGGUAUGGUCUCAACAUAAGAAGAUAAGAACUGGACCACUCAGGUCAACUAGGACUGGGACAACAUCAACAUACCUCAUCAAACAUAUGUAAAGUACUGCUCAAUGGAACCGACAAAGACUUGACCACUCAGAUCAACUUAGAUGCGAACGACUCUACAUCCUACUCAACUGUAUGCAAGUACUGACUAAUCAGUCAACUGGGCAAUGGAACAACUCAAACCCUACCAAAAGUAUGUAGAUACUGACUCAUUAUUGGUAACUAGGUCAUAUAAACAGAAUCGAUCAACAAGUCAUCUGAGUUAUAUAAAUCUAAAGACGUACCGGUCGCCACUAGCGACAUCCGACCCCUCAGAGGUACUCCGACCUCAUAAGGUAUCCAAACGGACAGACAUCACGGAACCGACGACUAGGUCACCGAUCGUCACAAGGAAAAGAAAUCACGGAAACCGCCUCUACUCUAAACCAUGAAACAGGAAUAUGCAGAAAUAGCCUAAUAGAGCAGACAAGAAACAUGUGGUAUCAGCAUACAAUAGACUAUACUCCUACGCAUGAUAUUAAGGGAUGAGACGUGCUGAUUCAGAGUAAAUCAAACACGUUGGGGCAAUGUUGAUGUAAACAAUUAGAGGUGCAAAACUCAACAUAUAACUUAUGCAUGCGAUAAUAACAAAAGAGAAGGGUAAGGAACCAUCACCGAGCGUGCCACCACUGUACAACGCUGCGCGAUCGAAGUACCCACCUGUACAACUAUCGCGCUGGUCUCCUUGACUGCCAAAGACGUCAAACAGACUAAUGGAGCGGCUCCAACUGGGUUAGUGUCUAACCCUACUAAGAACCCUAAAAGCAUAACCCACAAAAAACCCACCGAGAAUCGGUUCCAAACCGCUCGUCGUAAUACGCCGAAGUCCCGAAACCACACCGGGACGCCGUUCGGGGCCACACUAAGUGCUCCCGAUAACUCACCGACUCUUGUCCACGAGUCACCUACUGCCUAAAACACUCCAAUUUGGAUUUUUCGGCAAGCACCAGCAAAUAACACCACGUACACACUUUAUCGCCGGACUUAAUUGUACGAACACGGGUUCCGCGAAGUGUCAAAAUUCGACACCGGAACCCCCACCGUCGCCACCCGUCAUCACCGACACCACAAGUGAUGAUGUGUGACCAGCCAACAAGGCUUAACGACCAUCACAGUAGCCAACCAACACGGACUUUCGAAAGAAAUCCGACACCGAAACCGCGUUCUUUCGGCGCGAUUUCUGCGAAAAACGCCAUGCGAAUCGAGCUCUUCGAUUUCUGCAAAAAGUAACGGAUCAAUGGACAUCAGUCCAGAGGACCACCACACAUGUCUACACACUGUCCACAGUUAGUCUCCCAAGGCUCACAAUUGCACAAAGCCCCUGAAUGACAUAAAAUCCCAAUUUUAUGUAAAAUUGGCGAUUACAUAGGCCCGGUACACGCAAACGAGGUACUUCAUAAGUUUCUGCUGAGACACAUACUGAUAGGUCUCGACCGUACGGAGGCCGUGCUCACGGUCUGAGCGCAACAGGUCACUGUGGAACGCCAGGGAGCAAUCCCGAAGGUUCAGCGAACAGCGCGCAGUCGAGGAAAUUGCUCCAACAGGGCUAACCGGACACAUAUUAUGCCAAAGGUGAGCGUUGAGCACGUGUAUAUACUGACCGAUCACCGUGCUCACCUUCCGAAUCGAUCGGACAGCCUCUCGGAUCGCGGAUAAGCGUUGCGCAAACCCAAAACACCAAGCCAACAGUCGACAGGGUCGACACUACCAAACAGCCGGAACGGAAGUCUCCCGGCCGAAUCUAAGUGUGAGCACGAUGAUCAGAAAUUUUCUACGAUCAUCGUCGCCUCCCUUUCGCAGAGAUCGGCGGAGCUCAGGAAGCCAAAAGUAAACCAUCCCAAACUAAGCCCUAUUUCGGCUUCGGCGGAGAAGGUUGUCCGGCCGGCCUCCGGCAGCACGGCGGCGCGCGACGGCGGGCAGGUGGGCGUCGGGGGAGGUGGAACACGAUUGCUCCCUCCUGUGGCGGCGGCGCGUGCGUCGUAGCGUCGGCGGAGAAAGGCAUGCCCGCACACUAGGCCGGUCCUUGGUUGUUGGUGUAUGAGGGGGGGUUGCUUGGCCACGAUGGCGCGCCGGGCAGGUCGAGGGACGAGGCGGAAGGGCCACAGGGCGGAGGAGAGAGGAAGCGGCUGGGACAGCGCGGCGGCCCGCGUGCUCUGGGCGUUGCCGCUCGAGCUAGCGUCGGAUCUGCAGGCCUUAUAGGCGGGCUGGCGCCAAGGCUUCAGGCUGCGGGCGGCGAUCAAGGCGGCGGAAGAGCCGGCCGGAAAGUCGGGCGACACAGGAGAAGCUCGCGGGUGUGGACCAGCGGACUGCGGGCGCUGGGUGGAUGUUACCAAGUCUGUUCGGUCCGGAGCAGACCUGGUGAUGGCUGCAGGGUGGCCGCGCGGCGACGGCUCCGCGGAGGGGGCUAGGUGAGCGCGGGACCUGGGGUGGUCCCGAGGUCCGGGAUGUGCGGCCGGAACGGCGUGCCGCGGUGGCUUGCGCGCGGGUGAGGCGAUCAUCCUCGACCUAAGCUCGCCUGCAGCAAGCGGGUGCACAGGUCCGCGGCGGCGCUUGGCGCGGCGACGGUCGGCGGAGAUGUCGCCGGAGCACGGGCGCACCUGCGGAGGGUCUGGAGGUUGCGCAGUCUCGGGCUUCCUCCGACAACCCGAGAUAAAAAGAGAGGAUGAAGAGGAUAAGAUGGAUGAGGAGAGAAAGUGAGGGCGAAAGCGCCGGGGAGGUCCCCGGCGACCGCAGCGGUUGUGUCGGCCAAGGCCGCGCAUGGGUGGCAGGAGGAGGUGAACAGCGGUUAGGAGCUAGGUUCUCGGAAUGGUUGAGGGUUAGGGUUAUCACAUGAAAACCCUAACUCUGUUAGGCCUUAACUAGAGACCAAAUUCCAAGUAAGUCCUCCAAAAACUCUAAAUUUCAUAACGACGUCCUCCACACGGUGAAACCGAGAGAAUACCCUCCAUGUACGAUCCACGCAAAACGGCACAUAAAAUAUCGCAUCUUUUGCGAAAUUACAUUUUGCCACACCGACCUCUUCUUUCGAUCAACGUUGGUGAUUCCGCAGAUCCGUUCAUCGGAUUGCGAACGGAUCACACCAGUGCAUCAGCACCUCGAGUAGGCAAAGCUACGAUUUUUGGUUCACCUCGAAUCGACCAAUAGAUUCGCGACGAAAAUCCAUUCUUCUUUUCCAAAAGGCCACAAUGACGCACAUUACAUAACAAACAGUAUUUUCAGAUUUUCGUCGAAACUCAGUGCGUCACAAACCAAAAUCCUGUCAGCGCCAAUUAUUUCAGAAUAGCGCCCAUCCUUUCGAACACGAGCUAGUUGGACUGAAUAUGACUGAGUCGAUACGCCACCAGAAGCCACUCUACUCCGUGGCUUUCCGGAAAACCGGAGUUUAUCUAUUCACUUAAGUGAAAUACUAAAUCGCCGUAACUUCUCCGUUUUAGCUCAUUUUUUUUUUCUCCUUGAAACUUGACGAUGUUGCUUAUGUAAUUAAAUUGACACAACUAAACAUCGUCAACAGAGCAGUUUAGUUGCCUGUAAAAAACUCAGUCGCUUCACUCUCUCUCUCUCUCUCCUCUCUCUCCUCUAUCAUAUAUAUAUAUAUAUAUUAUAUAUAUAUAUAUAUAUAUAGAGUCCAAUUUGGUGCUGUAAAAGCACAAAGCAUUGGUGCUUGUAAGUUUUUUACGUUAGAUCUACAUUCUCGCGAUCAUUUUCAACCAUUAGAUUAUCACUAUCAACCAACCACCACUCAACCCUAGGGGCCCAGCAUCAUCCUAAUGCAUAUCUCUUAUCAAUGGCUCGGGGAUACAAAUCUACAGCACAUAUAAAUUGGUACCUUUUAAAAGAUAGGAGUCAAUUCUAUAUAUAUAUAUUAUAUAUAUAUAUUAUAUAUAUCAUUGUCUGCUUUUAAGACAUUCUAGCUCAACUCUAUUAUAUGUAUAUAUCAUAGAGUUGAGCUAAAUACUAUCGUAGCAAACGGCCGUUGCCACCAUCUUGUUCAGAUAGGCCUCCAAAUCGAUCGAUCGGCACCGUAUAAACAUUAUCUAUACUGACUUGAAAUAUUUAGAAAUCAAAUUUCAUAAAUCUUUUCGAACAUCAUUUACCUAAAGAUCAAAGGUUUUCAAAAUUGUAAUUUUACGAUGGUCAUUAUUGAAGGUGUUUUCCGUUUACGGACUAAAAAGAUAGUCCAACAUCAAUUAAAUUUUUUAUUAGAAAUUCAUAUAUUAUAUAUAUAUAUAUAUAUAUAUAUAAUAUAGAGAGAGAGAGCGAGAGAUCGCUGAUGGACGAGAGAGAGAGAGAGAGAGUAGUUGAGUUUUAGAAUACUAUCGGUAUAAACCAGCUCUUGCUACCCAUUUGUUUUCGAUGAUGGAUCCUCAAAUCGACGGAUCGGCACCGUUAUAAUAUGAUUUAUGCACUUGAGUAUUCUAGAAAUCAAAUUUCAUGCUUGUUCCGAUAUUUUCUCUUGCAUCAAGUGGGCGUAAAAGAUUAACGGUGAAAUGAUAUCCUCUAAAAGUGUAUGAUAGGAAUUGCAUAAUCAAGAUCGGAGUAUAGACUUUACUUCUAAAUAGUUUAAAGAAUUUUCUAACCAAAUCAAUUUGAUUUUGAUAGCUUUACACAGUUCAACGAGAAAACACCUUAUAUCUAUUCAUUAAAUUACACAUUUAUGAAACUCUUGAUGCAUUUAGGUCAAUAGAUAUUGAAAUGAUUUGAAUUUAUUUCUUAGAUAACUUCAAGUGGUAUAGAUCAUGUUCAACGGUGCGAUCACGUCAAUUUUAAAGGCUGCCCUCAUGCAAAAACAACGAGUUGGCAACAGAGCCAGUUGUACAAUAGCAUUCCAGCUCAACUCUAAUAUAAUAACUCACUUAGUGUUUAUUAAAAGUAUUGUACCUCAACUCUAAUAAUAUAUAUAUAUAUAAUUAAUAUAAAAUUAUAGAGAGAGAAGAGAGAGAGAGAGAGAGUUGAGCUCGAUUGCCAUCGAUAGCAAAAUGGGUCCGUUGUACACCCAUUUGUUUGUGCAGAUGAGCCUCUUGAAUUGACGAUCGACACCGUUUACACAUUGAUCUAUACCACUUUAGUGUUUAGUAGAUAUAAUUCUCAUACAGUUUGAUAUUGUUCUCUUAUCCAUCGGGGACACAAAAUGAACGCGGAAAAUAAAUAUUCUUGUAAAAAUGUAAUAGCGAGUCUUUUAAUCAAGGAUCCAAGAGUAUAUAUCUUGAUUUUAAUCAGUUUAAAGAUUUUCUUAACAAAAUUCACAUUGAUUUGGAAUCUUCUCGCCUGUUAAACGAGAAAACGUCUCAUAUCGAUCAUUAAAAUUUAAUAAAUUUGAAACCGUUGAUCAUUAGGCAAAAUAAUGUCGAAAGAUUCGAAAUUUAUUUUGUAAACACUUCAAGGAUUAUGGUUCUAUGUUCACGGGCUGUCAGAUUCACGAUUUGGUAAGCUCUAUUAUUCGAAAACAAUAUGGGGGUGAACUGGAGCCGUUUGCCUAUCAGAUAGCAUUCCUAGCUCAACUAUAAUAUAUAAAUAUAGAGAAGAGAGAGCGAGACACGCCAGUGCGAUUGUGCCCGGGUCCGACGUCGAAGUUACAAGAGUCGAUGCUGGGGAGAGAGAGACGAGAGAGGCAGGGAUUGCUGCUGCUCUUAGGAGCACGGAGGCCUCCACUCCGCGGCCAUUUUGAUGAUUUAAAUAUUUCGAAUCGAUGUCGGCGUCCCUAACUUGAUCUAGCAUAUUUGAAGUUCUAGAAAAUAAGCUGCAUUUCUGAUAUAUUUACCUAGUGAUCGGAAGGAUUCAAAAUCAAUAAUUUUAUGAUUGAUAUUCUACCAUUUCAAGUUUUAACGGUUGAUAAGAGUAUUCAAAUCAGAUGACAAUUUGUGAUACAAAUUCGUUUAUACCUUCUAUAACCAAGAUCAAUAUUUCUUGAUCGAAAAUUUUGUGCUAUACAUUUACUUUUUAUAGAUUUUUUUCAGCCUCGCUUAAAUUAUGAUUUUUGAAUCCUUUCGAUUGCUAGGGUAAUGAUUAUUCGAAAAUCACAAAAAUUAUUUUUUAGAAACUUUAAUACGCUAAAUCAAGUCUGGUAGCGGAGCGUCGUCGAUUCGCAAAUUUCAUCAUCGAAAACGGCUCAGGAGCACGGAGGCUCCACAUUGCUCCUGAAGCACAGCAGUCGCUAUUAUAAUAUUUAUAUGUCUGGCUGGAAUACUACGUAGCACAAGGGCUUGGUGCUAUCGAGUUCGACGUUAGAUUUAACCCUUUGAUUAUUCCCUUUUGGAGUAUUUUACCUGUUAAAUUAUACUACUUCAACAAACCACCACUCAACCCUAAGGGCCACACUAUUCUAACGACAUUUUUGCAAUCAAUGGCGAUAAAAAAUAAUUAGCAGUAAUAGUUUGGUCGUGCUAUUAAUAAUAUUUCAACCUAUUUCUAUAUAUUAAUUUUAUAUUAUAUUAAUUAUUAUAUAUAUUAUUUAUAUAUAAUAAAUAUAUAUAUAUAUAUAUUAAAUAACUAAGAGCCGGUACUAUACUCUUAUGAGUAUUGAUCGCCCUGCUUCGUACUCAUAAGUUGUUUUCGAUGAUAGAGCUUCCAAAUCGACGAUCCAUACCGUUAAAUAUUAUUUAGAGCAUUUAAAACUUCUAUAUCAAAUUUCAUAAUUUUUCGACAUCAUUUACCUUACGAUCAAAAGCUCACAAAAUUGAUAAUAUUUAACGGCUCAUAUGGGGGACUUGCUAGUUUAACGGUGUAAAAGAAUUGGAAUAGGUUGUAUUUUUGAUAGAAAAUUCUAUUCACUAUCUAGAUAAAGAUCAAUAAUUUAGAUCUUAAAUUGAAGGAUCUGAUCAUUCAUUUUUAGGACAUCGUUCAAUUUUGACCAUUCAUUUUAUGCCCGUUUGAUGGAUUUUAUUAUGAUUUCGAAAAAUUAUGAAAUUUAUUUUUUAAAAGUUUAAAAUAAUGUAGAUCAUAUUUAACGGUAUGGAUCGUCGAUUCGAAAGCCCUAUUAUCGAAAACAACUUAUGAGUAUGAAGGGCCUAAUACUCAUAUAACUAAGAGUAGAGCUAGAAUACUUGUAAAAGUAUCACCCAAGUGAUACUUGUGUGUUUUUAGCCCUUGGAUGGAGAGAUGUGAGGUUAAGAUGAUGGUGGUAGGUGGUGGUAGGUGGUGGUAGGUGGAAUAAUGUUUGAUCCAAGGACAAUUAGUAAUCAAAAAGUAGAUCCAAUGGCUAAAAACACACAAGUAUCACUUGGGUGAUACUUGUAAAAGUAUUCUAGCCCUACUCUAUAACUAAAUAUCUUAUUUUGAUAAUUAAGAUAUCGAGCUUUCAAAUCGGGCUUGGGCCGGGCUUGGACAUAUCCAUGUAGGCCCAAACUUUUUUCGGGUUUAAAUUUUUAAUUCCCAAAGCCCGGCCCAUACAUGGCUCAUCGGGCUGGGCCUUGUUUAGACCCGAGACCAUUUCAACCCCUAAUACUAACCUAACUAUUUCCUUUUUUUGGUCUCAAAAUUCUUGGGUAAACUUCAAUUUGACCCCUAUGGUUUAACUUAUUUUUACCUUCAUUUUAUGAUUUAAAAAGUUAUACUCAAAUGCUAUAUGGUUUUAUCUCUAUUUUUUACGAACAAAUUUACUAUCGAAUACGAUGGCAAAAUAAACUUUUUUUGAUAACCAUCGAAGAGUUAAGUGUAAUUUUUAAAGCUAUCCGAUGCUAACGUGAAAUUGAGGUAAAUCACAGGGUAGGAUAGUGUAACUUUUUGCAUUAGAAUGGUAAAGUAAAAAUAAGCUAAAUCUCAGGAGGAGAAAUUAAAGUUUAUCCUUAUUUUUAAGUCUUUUUUUUAGAGUUGUAGUACCUAUCUUCUAUAAUCGAUUAAUGUAUGAAAAUGAAACUAUAUAUUAAUGUUAUUUACCAUUAAAUUUUUUAAAACUAUUAUAAAAUAAUAAAAGUACCAGAGAGAUUUGCGUAUGGAAUCAAUACAUCUAUAAAUAGAUUCAUAUAAUAUUAUUUAAAUAAUUUUCUUUAUAAAUAAUUAAAGUUUAACAUUUUUUAUAAAUUUUAAAAAUACAUUAUUUUAAAUCAAGAUAUUUUUUAAAAUAAAAUUUAAAAUAUUUAUAUGGUGCGCGCGGGUUAUUGACUAAUAUAUGCUAGGUCUCUGAGCCACAAAUAAAAAAAAAAUGCCACAAAUAAAAAAAAAUGAGAUAAUAAUUUUAUGUCAAAAAUAAUAUUUCUAAAAUAUUAGACUUUUUUCGCAAAAAAAUAACUAGUUUUUAGUUUAUGCAAAAAUAAGCCACAUUUUUUUUAUUUUUACAAAUUUGGAUCAAAAUUUUUAAAGAGGGACAGAAAAUAGCCAUACACUUUAAAAACACAAUCUCUCCUUCCUCAGCCCCCUCAUGGAUAAUAUAGAUGGAUGGACCGGGUUUUGGAUAUUAAAAUUAUAACUUCGGAUUGGACCCGACUUAAAAAUUUAGGCUCGAAAAGGUUUUGGAGGACAAGUCCAACCCGUACCCGAAAUCCAAUACAUUAAUUACCAAAAUAAGAUAUUUAGUUAUAUAUAUAAUAUAUUUAUCCAAUAUAAAGAAUAAAUAGUAUAAUAUAGUUAUACAUUUUUAUAAGUAAAUAUGUAUGUUCGGUUUUAUUAUAGUUAAUUAUAUACAUAUAACUUAACAUUAUAUAUAUAAUAUAUAUUAUUUAUUCGGUUAUUUUAUUUUAUUUUUGUACAAUAAAAAUAUAUCUAUUAACUACUAUGAAAUCCCAUGUCCUUUUGUCCACGUGGCGAUAUUAGCUUAAUUUGAAAUUUUGUGGGACCUACCUGUCAGCCUAAUAUAUUUUGCUUAAUUGUGGAUUUAUGUUGGGGCCCAUCUGUUCGUUUUUUUUCCUCAUAUAUUUUUCAUUUAAUUGGUUAAGAGACUUUUCAAAUUUUCUUUUGUGGGACCUGCCUACCAUCUUAAAACAUCUUGCUUAAUUAAUUAUGGGCUUUUGUAGGAAGCCAACUGUCAUCUUAACUUAUUUUCCCAUAGUCCCACCCGUUAGAUUAUUUUCCUUAUUCUCUUCCCAUUUAAUUCCUUCAGAGACUCUUCAUUCUACCUUCGUCUCUAGCGUCGCUUCGACUCCCGAGUUGCCCACCCUAGACGGCAAAUUGGGGCUGGUUCAUCGGCCAUCCUUCUUUCCUUCUCGCCGUUUUCGUUAACGACGUUUCGUUCCAGCGUGCGGUUACGAUUUCUCCCAUUCCACCUUCGUCUCUAACGUCGCUCGGACUCCCGAUUUGCCCUACCUAGAUGGAAAAUUGGGGCGAGUUUAUCGGCCGUUCAUCUUCCCUUCUCGCCAUUUUCGUUAGCGACGUUUCGUUCCAGCGUAUUGUAAUAUAUCGAUCUCCGACGACGAAGCUAAUUUUAAUCAAAUUGAUCAAAGUAAUGCUAAAAUAUAAAUUGUGUUGUCCCCAAGUUAAAUUGGUAUCGUGGGGAUAGUUAAUUGCGUGUUUUAGAAGUAUUUAGAGGUGUUCGGAAUAAAGUGGAAGCAAGAAAACGGCCUUGGAAAAAUGCUACUGCCAGCUGCUGCCAAGUGCAGGUUUUGCACUUGGUACCGGUACUAAAUGGAGUGCCGGUACCAAAUGCCGAGAGGGACUAAAGUGUGAAGGAAAAUUUUAGCUUUUGAAGGGGGGUUAAGAGCAAUUGUUUGCUCUUAUCUUGUAACCCCAGCAUAUCCCCAGUAGCCUACAUGUCAAAGCUUCUCUCCUCACCUUCUCUUCUCCUUUCUUUCUCCCACUCUCUCUCUCUAACCUAUGGUGUUCGGUUUUGGUGAAGUGAAAGUUGGUGGAAAAGGUGUGGAGUGGCUGUUUUGAGCUGAGAAGAGGAGGUUUGAGCAGGGAAUUGGCUGGUGGAGAGGCAACCUAAGGUAAGAUGUAUGAAAUAGCCAUGAGAGGUUGUUGACUCCACAGUCUAUGUAUGUGAAUAGGAAGCAUGCUAAUUAAUUUGCCCCCUGCAACUGUAGGCUAUGUCUACCAUUAUGCAUAUUCUAUGUACAUCUGCAUGAAAAAGAUAAUUACGGCAAGUGGGCAUAUACGUUGCAUGUAUUUUGAGAGGUGCUCCACAUGCUGAUGGAAGCAUCACAUAAUUAGGUACCAUAUCCUAAUAGAAAUAAUUUGCUAAGUCAAUAUGUUCUGUUAACAAGUUAAAUUAACUUCUAUAUUUAAUACACAUGCCCAAUUAAAUAUUUCAACUUAAAUUUAAUUAGCUAGUAGGCUAUAUACUGGUGGGAGAUUAGCAUGGCUUGGGUAGUAGUGGUUGUAUGGGUUAUAUAUGAAUGUUGUAGAAAUAUGAAUACAACAUGAGUUUGAUCUCUUGUAUUCCUCAAUGAAGGAAAGUUCGACGUGUUCGGAAGCUUGAAUCGAUAUUCCGACGGACCUAUGGCGUGCUAAUUAAGGAAAACCUCGUUUUGCUUUCGUUUGCGGUGGAUCGAGAGGAAUAGGCGUGUAGAAAUUUUGAAACUUUGGUUCUAGCAUUUUGGCAUCCCUACGAGGUGGAUGAUGCUAUCCGAAAUCUUCGAAUCCCUCGUUAUGUCUAUGUCGCCUUGUUGAGCAUAUUUGUAUAUGAAUAAUAUAGUAUUCAUGCAUUAUAGGGUAAUGUUAUAGUAUAGUUAUGAAAUGAGCAAUUGAAUGUGUACCAAUGUAAAGAACAUGUGGACAAUAGAAUAUGGACAUAGAAACCCUAUGAAUGUAUGAACUUAUAAUGGAUUAUGACAAUAGUAAACUUGGUGGCAUUGUGACUAGAAGAACGGUUAGCAUCGAGAUUAGAAUUGUUAAACCUAGUAUAAAGAGGUAGUUAAAGUUUAAAGUGUGAUAUUGUCAUUCAUUGGAUCCUCUAAGUGAGGAUUAGAUCAUACUCACAUUAGUCUAAUGCUCGAUGACGGUCGCUCCUCCUUGGGCGAUGAGCUCCGGAGUAGUCAUCAACUGGGUUGGAAGUGGGUAUAUGCUCGCCAGUAGACGGUCCCGUCGGGUUGUAGCAGGAGUCUCCCCGAUAGUAGGGAUUGAGUUGGGGAGUUAUAGUUAACCAAAUGGUUAACCAUAUUGAUUGGGUAAUGGUUAUUAGCAGCAUGCAUGCAUAAAGUUCAUAUGUUAUAUGUUAUUCUUUUCAGCUUUGUACAGACAUUGUAGUAGAUACAUGAUAUAGUUGGUUACUAUCUCUUCUCUAUUCUUGCCUACAUAUGCCUCAGUAGACCUAGUGGGUGAAUCGGCGAGGUCGGCAGCCAAACCAACUGAAAAUUUUUAGUAGUUCUCACACCACUAACCAUGCAGAUCCUAGUGUGAGUGGAGCGGUCGAGGAUCGUGACAAGAGCCCAGUAUCUUAGCUAGUGGACUCCCGAGUAUAGUUAUGUACCCUUUUUGGUUUCAUGAUGUAUAUAUUUGAUGAAAGGAAUUAUGUAAAAAUGAUGUAUGAAUGAGCAUGUAAAUGUUGUAAAUAACUAAAUGUAAUAGUUAUCCAGCCUUGUAUUUUAUUAAAAACUUCAAGAUACAGUAAAUGCAUGUUUAGUUAGUUUACUUUCACUUGUACUUGUUGCUUGCCCUCGUGCAGGCCAUUUAUAUUGAAAUGUUAUCUUGGGAUUAUUUUUUUCUUUAUACAUGUAAUUGUAAUUGUUGAGCCUUGGGCGGACAGGGGAGGUGCUGUCCGUUCGACGUCUGUGUACGGGCCCGGAUAGACCAAAUUGGCGAUAGCGGAACGUGACAGAUAAAAUGGUAUCGGAGCAAGUGACAAGUGAAAGUUUAGGAUGGACCUAGGGGCUUUAAGAUUGAAAACCUAAGGAACUAGGAACGCGAGUGACGUGAACUAAAUGAUAGCAAAAGCUAAAUGAAUUGGGUUAGUUGUUAGUAUGUCUCUAAUGUUAAUUAGGAGCUGAUCCAAGUGACACAACUUGAGGAGUUAUGUUGGUGGCCAACAACAUAAAGCCUAGGGAUGAGUACAAAUACACUUGAUUGCUUUCGCCUGAUUGGUUUUGUUUAACUAACUUGAAUGUUACGUUUCGGGAGUAAUGGCACCGCGACGUUCGACGAGAUCCACACCGGCAUCCCUCCCUUCCUGAGGUGCCUCAGCAGUCUGGAUCUAAUGAGGUUCGCAAGCUGCGUGCUCAAGUGACCGCGUUAGUAGGGCAUUGCAGAGGCAGGAAAAGCGAAUGGAGAGGAUGCAGGAUUUAGUGUCGCGGCAGGCGACAACGGCUGCACCUGUGAGUCAGGAUUUGCCUACACCUACGACGCCGGCGACAGCGUCCCCUGUUCCGGCGACUACUCCUCCGGUGGUUUCUGGCCCUUCAGUUCCUGAUUUGGUCGCGGUAGAGGCUGAGCAGGAGCGAUUGCUUAUGGUGCUGACAGCGUUUAUGUGGUUCAACCCUCCUAUGUUUGACGGAGAGGUGACAGAUCCUUGGGCAAUGGAGCUGUGGCUUACCUCUAUGGAAGCGUUAUUUGAGGACAUCUAUACUUUGUAGAAAGAUAAAGUUCAUUUAGUUGUGCACUGUUUUGAAAAAUCAGCUCAGGUUUGGUGGAGAAGGGUCAAGAAAAACCGGUCUCCAAAUCUUCCACCAAGUACUUGGGAUAAGUUUCGUGAGUUACUGUUCAUGAAGUAUUUUCCUGGUAAUAAUAAAAGGAAAAUGAAAGAAGAUUUCCGCAAGUUGAGACAGGAAAAUCGUUCAGUACGAGAGUAUGAACGGAAAUUCUCACAUUUGGUGAACUGUGUUCCGGGUAUGAUUCACGGGGAUCGAGAUCGAGCUGAAUGUUUUGAGCGGGGGUUGCGACCUGAGAUAUUUAAAGUGAUACAUGCCUUCAAGUUAAAGACUUUUGAGGAAGUUUUGGAUCGUGCUCUUUGGGUGGAGCGAGGUAAUACGAUUGCGUGUGAUGAACACGAAUCGUUUGAGAGGGAAAAGGAAAAGGAUAAAGGGAAAAAGCGGACCACAAGUGGGUCCGGGGGACAGUCAAGUUCUAAAAGGCCCCCUCGGUAUCCACGAUCACAAUCGAGGUAUCGGGGACCUCCCAGAUGUGUUAUUUGCGGCGGGAAUCAUCGACUGUCGACUUGUUCAUAGCGUGAGGGGACGUGUUAUAGGUGUGGUCAGCUAGGACACAUGAUUCGAGAGUGCCCGAGUGGAGCAUCACCUGCCCCAUCGGCCGUGUCAGUUCAGUCGACCCCGAGACAGCGUGCGGGUCUUCCACCCGCUAUGUAUGCUGGAUGUUCAUCUAUGCCGCGUCAGCCUGAGAGAUUCCGACCGAUGCCGAGUGGUCGUGUUUUUGCUGCUCAGGUAGAGGAGCCUGCCGUUGUCGACGAUGUCGUGGCAGGUAUUGUUUUAAUUAAAGGCACUAAAUCUCGAACAUUAUUUGAUACAUGUGCGUCGAACUCAUUCAUUAGUAGGUCAUUUGCUGAAACUCAUGACGUCGAGAUUUCGGAUAGUACGGAUGCUUGGUGGGUUUAUGCUCCUUAGCACACUUUUAGUGUCAACAAGGAGUGUGCGGCUUGUCCAGUGCAGGUUGGUGAUUGGAUUAUGCUGGCGGAUUUGCUAGUGUUGAGCCGUAUGAAGGGUUUUGAUUUGAUCCUUGGAAUGGAUUGGCUCUCGAAAUACUAUGCCACUAUUGAUUGUGAAAGUAAAGUGAUUACUUUUCGUGAACCAGGGCAAAAGGAAGUUGUGUAUCAUGCGUGUAAAAGUUCACUUUUUGCUAUGGCAGUAUCGAAAGCGAGGAAGUUGAUUAAUAGUGGAUGUGUAGCCUAUUUGGCGACAGUUGUGGAGACUCAAAAGGAACUACCGGCACUUGGGGAUAUUCUAAUAGUUCGAGAGUUUCCAGAUGUAUUUCCUGCGGAGUUACCGGGAUUGCCACCGGACCGGGAGAUUGAGUUCGUUAUUGACUUAGUUCCCAGGACGGCGCCAAUUUCGAAGGCUCCAUACAGAAUUGCACCGGCGGAAUUGAAGGAGUUGAAAGCUCAGUUGCAGGAUCUGCUUGACACGGGCUUUGUGCAGCAUACUGUGUCACCUUGUCAAACAGAUCCUAUAACUGAGCUUUCAACUCCCUCAAUUCUGCCGAUGCCAUUCUGUAUGGAGCCUUCGAAUUUGGCACCAUCCCGGGAAGUAAGUCAAUAACGAACUCAAUCUCCCGGUCCGGUGGCAAUCCCGGUAACUCCGCAGGAAAUAUAUCUGGAAACUCUCGAACUAUUGAAAUAUCCCCAAGUGCCGGUAGUUCCUUUUAAGUCUCCACAACUGUCGCCAAAUAGGCUACACAUCCACUAUUAAUCAACUUCCUCGCUCUCAACGUCGAUACUGUCAUAGCAAAAAGUGGACUUUUACACGCAUGAUACACAACUUCCUUUUGCCCUGGUUCACGAAAAGUAAUUACUUUACUUUCACAAUCAAUAGUGGCAUAGUAUUUUGAGAGCCAAUCCAUUCCAAGGAUCAAAUCAAAACCCUUCAUACGGCUCAACACUAGCAAAUCUGCCAGCAUAAUCCAAUCGCCAACCUGCACUGGACAAGCCGCACACUCCUCGUUGACACUAAAAGUGUGCUCAGGAGCAUAAACCCACCAAGCAUCCGUACUAUCCAUGCCUUUAUUUACAACAUUUACAUGCUCAUUCAUACAUCAUUUUUACAUAAUUUCUUUCAUCAAAUAUAUACAUUAUGAAACCAAAAAGGGUACAUAACUAUACUCGGGAGUCCACUGGCUAAGAUGUAGCACACUGGACCUUUGCAAAUUGCGAGGUUUGAGUGUUCGAUUUGUAUCCCGAACUUUUCCACACUUGGUGGAGGGCCGUCGAUGGUAUACCGGCCUAAAAGUUCGAUCUCGAGAGUUUUGGCAGAGUCCUGAGAGUUUUUACUCUCGGGGACCGGUCCCUGAUAGGAGAGACCGGUCUCCCAGUGAACAGUGCUGCGCAGCCGGCGAGGCAACCGGUCCCUGGCAGUCGAGACCGGUCCCCGAGCGCGUCUGCGCGGGGAGAGGCCGGUCCCGCGCAGGGAGAGACCGGUUCCCGAACGUUGAUUUCUGGGGCAGGCUCUGAGACGGUCCUCAGUGGGGAGACGGUUCCUUCUGGCGGCGAAACUGCCAAACGGUCGGCUGAUGUAAAUUUGAAAGUUUUGAGGGACUAAGUAAGUUUGUUUCUUAUUAAGGCCUUUUGCCAUUUCACCUAUUCUCUCCUUCAUUUCUUCCUUACCACUAUUCUAUAGUAGAGAAAAAAGGAAGAAGAAGAAAGAAAAGAGAAGAGGGGAAUGAGUUGCUUAGGGGCUUUGGAGCAUAUUUUUCCCAAUUUUCUCACGCUUGUGGCUUCGAGUUUACGUUGGACUUUUGUGGAGGAUCAACUUCAACCUACUUGGUUUUGAGCUUGGAUGUAAGUCUUCUUGAGUUGUGAUUAAUCCUACUUUGAUAAUUAUUUUUCUAGGUUUUAUAGAUGAAACCUAGAUUUGGGUUAUAGUUAGAUUUGGGGCUUUUGUUUGAGGCUUUGAAUCUUUUUAUGGUGUUUGACCUUUAUUAGGUUAGAUGGAGACCCUUAUUCAUUUGAGUUAAGAGAGGGUUUUCCUGGAUAGUGGUGUUUUUUCCAACCCUAGUUGGUUGGUUGAAAUGAUUGAGCUUAGGUCCUUAUUUGACUAGAUGACUUGUUUUUACCUUAGCAGGUACUAGGAGUGUUGUGUGGACGCCGUGUCGUGGCAACGAAAGCGGUUCGUGACGACGGUGGUUUGGCUUCGUGUGAAAUGGGGCGAAAUGGCUUAUGCUUUUCUACUUGUUGUAAAUAUUUUUUAGUUCCCUCUCUAUGCUAAUUAAAUUAUAUAUGAAUUUUAGAGAUUAAAAAUGCUAUGUUGUUGAUUGAAAUUUCGUUUAGUAGAGCUAUAGGAGUUAUGCAUGAUACAGGGAAAAAAGUGUUUAUUUUGCAAAGUGAAGAAAAAUCCUUAUGAGGAUUAUGCUUUUGAUAUGUCUUCGAAACUAGUUACAUGCUUUUCAGGAGAGAAAACGAGUUCAUAAAGCACUUGAAAUAAUAUAUUUGAAACUGAAAGUAAGGACAUUUGAUAGGCAGACUAUUGCUAUUAAUUUAUUUAGAGACAUUGGACAUAGUGGAGAUAUCGUUUGAGAUUACUUUUGGGGGGGGGACAGAUCCAUGUAUUAAAAUGAGGGAUUAUGUAUUGCGACAGAUAGUUUGAAUAACUGUCAUGUGUCUUCGCACAUGUUGUGAGGGUCGUUCCCUACAAGCCGGACUCGGAAGAUAGACAUCAGCGGAUUUCUAUUCGCCGUGGGUUGGGCGCGUAGUGGAUUGCGAGUGGGCAGGUUCAUUCUAGGGUGGGGUGCAUGACUACCAGGGCCAUUAGGCCAAGGACGGCCAGACAGUCGGGUGGGUUUAGGGCCAUAGACGCUUCGAGGGGGGUUUUCAAGAUUGACUUGAUUUAAUUAUGACAUGAUGGACGGGAUGAUGACUUAAAGAGUUUACUUGGAUGACUAAAAUAGUCAAACAUACGGACUUUAUUAUUUCGCAUUGUGAAAUUUGAUAGUUGGAGCUUUCAAUCAUGAUAAUUACUUUCAUAUUAUAGUUAUUUAAUGCUAAGUAAAGAUAGUAUUGAUAGUAAGUUACAUUUACUUACAUUUCGUUUUUAAUUUUUAGUCAUGAAUUUUUUGGUGCUUAGCCCGGGGCCCAUGCUGGUGAUUCACUGAAUCAGUAAUUGCCCAUGGGAACUUUUUUAUAAGAUUUCACCCCUAUUUUAUGGUUUGCUUUUCAGAGCUUCCCGCCCAACACGGCACGCGGAUGCUGGAUCCGGCAAGGGAUCGCUUAGUAGUCUACGAGGAGCGGUACUUUGCUAGAUGGUUUACUUUUCUUUUUGUAGUUGAGAGAGUGAAGGUUUUGUAACAUGUAUUAGAGACACUAUGUAUUACCUAUAGCACUUGUUUGGGAUUUCUCUGUAUCAUUUAUGUCUUAUUUAAGUGAAUUUACAGUUUGUAUCCUUUCUUUGUGAUAGAAUUUAGACUAUUUAUUUAUGCUUGUACUCAGAUGCUUUUAUUAUUGCUUUUAUUAUUGUUGUUUUUAGACGCCUUAUAUGUUUUAGACGUAUGGCGGGUCUGGGCACGUGCCGGGCGGGCUUCCGCAGGGUCCCGGGGCGUGACAGAGAUGCUAGGCUCUUGCCGCGAUCCUCGACCGCUCCACUCGCAUUAAGAUCUGCAUGGUUAGUGGUGUGAGAACUACUAAAAAUUUUCAGUGGGUUCGGCUGCCGACCUCGCCGAUUCACCCACUAGGUCUACUGAGGCAUAUGUAGGCAAGAAUAGAGAAGAGAUAGUAACCAACUAUAUCAUGUAUCUACUACAAUGUCUGUACAAAGCUGAAAAGAAUAACAUAUAACAUAUGAACUUUAUGCAUGCAUGCUGCUAAUAACCAUUACCCAAUCAAUAUGGUUAACCAUUUGGUUAACUAUAACUCACCAACUCAAUCCUUACUAUCGGGGAGACUCCUGCAACAACCCGACGGGACCGUCUACUGGCUAGCAUAUACCCGCUUCCAACCCAGUUGAUGACUACUCCGGAGCUCAUCACCCAAGGAGGAGCGACCGUCCUCGAGCAUUAGACUAAUGUGAGUCUUUAUACUAGGUUUAACAAUUCUAAUCUCGAUGCUAACCGUUCUUCUAGUCACAAUGCCACCAAGUUUAUUAUUGUCAUAAUCCAUUAUAAGUUCAUACAUUCAUAGAGUUUCUAUGUCCAUAUUCUAUUGUCCACAUGUUCUUUACAUUGGUAUACAUUCAAUUGCUCAUUUCAUAACUAUACUAUAACAUUACCCUAUAAUGCAUGAAUACUAUAUUAUUCAUAUACAAAUAUGCUCAACAAGGCGACAUAGAUAUAACGAGGGAUUCGAAGAUUUCGGAUAGCACCAUCCACCUUGUAGGGAUGCCAAAAUGCUAGAACCAAAGUUUCGAAAUUUCUACACGCCUAUUCCUCUCGACCCACCGCAAACGAAAGCAAAACGAGGUUUUCCUUAAUUAGCACGCCAUAGGUCCGUCGGAAUAUCGAUUCAAGCUUCCGAACACGUCGAACUUUCCUUCAUUGAGGAAUACAAGAGAUCAAACUCAUGUUGUAUUCAUAUUUCUACAACAUUCAUAUAUAACCCAUACAACCACUACUACCCAAGCCAUACUAAUUAAUUAGGUGCCACAUGCUGAUGGAAGCAUCACAUAAUUAGGUACCAUAUCCUAAUAGAAAUAAUUUGCUAAGUCAAUAUGUUCUGUUAACAAGUUAAAUUAACGUCUAUAUUUAAUACACAUGCCCAAUUAAAUAUUUCAACUUAAAUUUAAUUAGCUAGUAGGCCAUAUACUGGUGGGAGCACCUCUCAAAAUACAUGCAAUGUACAUGCCCACUUGCCGUAAUUAAUUAUCUCCUUCAUGCAGAUAUACAUAGAAUAUGCAUAAUGGUAGACAUAGCCUAUAGUAGUAGGGGGCUAAUUAAUUAGUAUGCUUCCUAUUCACAUACGUGGACUGUGGAAUCAACAACAUCUCAUGGCUGUUUCAUACACCUUACCUUAGGUUGCCUCUCCACCUGCCAAUUCCCUGCUCAAACCUCCUCUUCUCAGCUCAAAACAGCCACUCCACACCUUUUCCACCAACUUUCCCUUUACCAAAACCCAACACCAUAGGUUAGAGAGAGAGAGAGAGGGAGAAAGAAAAGAGAAGAGAAG
rnacentral:lncRNA from 1 species